CGAACGAAAGGCUCUUUCAGGAAGUAGUCCCGGGCCCGGCACCAACCAAGAGGAGGCGGGGCUCUCUCCAAUCAUUCCGAAGAGCCGAGAUCUCGUAAAGGAAAAAUUAGCUAGCUCAGCAGGUUUGGACCCGGGUGAAUCAGUUCAGUGAAGGAAGGGAGCCUAAGCCUAAACUUAAGGCUUUUCCAAGCCUUGCCGAUAGGCGCCUCAUGGCUCGCUCAGUUCGCUCGCGGAGUUCUUAGAUCAGUAGAUUUGGAUAGAGUCUCGCUCAUCUCAUAAAGGAAGAGUAGCGCGCUAGCGCGGCUCGCUUCGCUUUUCGACGCGGAGCUCGCAGCUGUCGAAGCCUGCUUCAAAACUACAGGGCGUGCGUUAGCACUACGGCUUUUCAGCCUCCCUUUGCUGGUUCCGAACUAUCACUGAUCCCACCUUCAAACCUUUUUCUUUUAAUCUCAGGAAGGCUUUCUCGGGGAGAAAGCUGGUUGGGGAACUGCUAAACGACCUAAAAGAAAGAGGAGACUGACUCUGACCUUUCAAAGCCCUAUCUCAUCUGGUUGAUAGUAGAAGGUACGUACGAUGGUACCAUGGACAUAAACGAGGUCGAGCAUAUCUUUAAUGAUUUAAAACUAAAGCGUACCUAAAGCCUGCCCUGGAUAUGAAAAAGGGAUUUGAGCCAGAAGAAGAUGAGGAUCUAUCACCAGAUGAGGAAAUGGAAACAACUAAGUAUUAGUUAGGUUCCGGAAAUGGAAAUGGUAACAGCGGCCCAAAACUCAAAUGGUAAGGUUUUCUUUGAAAAGAAAAAGGAAUGGGAUGGGGUAUGAAUCCUUAACUACAAAAGAAAAGUAAGCACCUCUCCUAACUAAUUAGUUAGUAUCGAGAGACUAGGCUUUUCAUUAAAGUUGAAGGAGACAAACAAAGUCUUGCCGAUGGAAGAAAUUCCAUCGUCGUAAGGGAAGGCCUUGGUCAAUCAACUCACCGCCAUUGACCAGGGGAGGGGGGAACAAUCUGAUGAGCGAGAUCAUAACACGUGAACAACAAACCAUACCGAUAGGUUGAUAGUUUUCUGUUGGUACGGCGUGUGGUCACAGGAACAAUCGGCGGUCGUAGCAUGAACUAAAGAGUACCUUCAUUUUACAGCGUAUAGAGGUGUACCAAUCCCACCAUGAUCGCCAGAGCAAGAUUCAUUCUUUAAUCGCUACCAGAUCAAACAUGAGACCAGCAUCCGGAACGCAAAAGUUUUUAGAAAUCCUUAUCUUUCGGCUUUUUAAAGAAGAUAGGCCAUUACAAAAACAAGGUCUAACAGUCGACUCUUUCCUAUCAGGAUUUUACAACCUGAAUACCAACCUGGGGGACCACUAUUAUAUUAGAAGAGAGCAUAAUAAGUAAAUGCCGACGCCAUCUUUUACUUUUUGGAUUGGAUUGGAUGGUCGGCGGCGCCAUAAACUCGAUAACCAGCACCGCGGAGUCAAUAAAUUCAACUAAAUAGAAUCCUAAAACAAUCUUAUUCGAGCACACGCGGGACCCGCAGCAAUGAAAUUCACACAAGCGGCAAUCAUCCGAGCAGAGAAUGGAGAAGGGAAAUAUACUUUGAAUUGUUUUUCCGAAUGAGAAAGCCUUUGGCAAACUCCUUGCAAAUCCGUUUUUGCCGGGCACAAUAGACAUAUCUGCUCAGUCACAACAUAAGGAACCCCCAAUGUUCCUCAAAGCCUACCCGGCCUGACAGCUUUAGUUGAAUGAUCUGAUCCCGAAGCUAGCUUUCUACUUAAAUUGCUAUGACUGGCCAACUAAUGAUCGGACUACCUAUCUUGAUGUUUUGAAUCUGUAUUCAGAGCUUUUUUCCAACUACCGGGACUACUAAUUUAAAGUACAAAGCUCUCCUAUGAAUAUGCUACUGCUCUUACUUUCUACCUGAAUCCGAGCAUUGAAGCAAGCUCUUUAUCGCACCAUAACCGAGUCUCCCCUUGCAGCUCUGAUCAAUCCACCCGGCAAAUAACUGCUCCUUACUCUUUGAUUGUAUGUCCAUUUUUGCUUGAUGUCUGGCUCACCGGAUCUGGUACAUGAAAAAGCCAUUCCUUUUCGCUUUCCUUCAACCACUCAGUAUACUUUUUUACUGGAAGAGUCAAGCGAAAGCAAUUAGUUUAGAAGGAAGAGGAAGACCUGGGGUGGGGGGCUUACGUCCUCAUUUCACUCUUUUUGCUCCUGCGAGACACGACUCAACUACUUUUUACAAUUGACAGGGUAGCUCGGAGGUCAGAUGAGGGGUCUUCCCCAUAAAGAUAGAUUAGUACUGGAAGGUUCAGAUGAAGGAAGGGCGGGCUGAAACAAGGCACAAACUUUGAAAUGGGGUAGGGUAAAUAAAUAUGAGCAAUCCGUGAGAAUAGCAAACCCCUAUCUCUUAUAAAGAAGAAGAUAGAUAGGUCCACGAGUUGAGACAGAGAAGUUCUGACUAAUCAAGUAGGAGUUUACCCACGAGAGUCAGAGGCUGCAUCAUCAAAGGGGUAUAGAAAUAAUUCAGAAGCACUAUGGCCUGAAGCGAAGGGCAGGAACGAACGGAAUCAAUGUGUUCCAAUUUAUCCGGAGUAAGGACAGCAGCCGAGAAGGGGAAAAAAAAUAGCGUAGAAAAAAAAAGGUAGGACCAGAUCAUGCGAAGAGCUCUUCGCCCUAUUGAUUAGGAAUCUCGAUCAGAAACCACCAGGCCAUGUCUCCCGAUAAAAAUCCCCACAAUGGAUGUCAGGCCUUGGCUUCAUAAAAUCUGAUUGGAUCCGCACUAUAGGAUAAGAAUACAGAUAGGCUGACUAUGACUAAGAAGAUCUUCCAAUUUUCUUACCUGAAAAGAUGAGUUAUUCAAAGGAAUACCUGCAAAAUAGAAUAAACACAUGGCACAGCUGGGUGCUAGAAUAGUAGUUAAUAGAAGUUCUAGUCACUUAAAAAAAAAAUAACCACUGCUUAACUUAAUUAGAUCGUAGAAGAUAAGCAAGCGGGUUCGGGCAGUUAGUCCUAUUUGAAGGUCAGAAGUUCGGGUAGUAAGGGCUAGGUUUAUAUAGGGGCUAUAUUUUUUAGAAACAUAUGGUCUUGCUCAUUUCCCAUCAAGGAAUGGAGAUUGGGUUGGUGUUUGGAAGGGAUUCAGUAAACUGACCUUGGCCAGCAAGCAGAAAAAGGACUGACGUCUUGGGGCGCGCUAGCGCGCGUACUCUUCUUCUGCGAGACUCCAUCCAAAUCCACCACUUACUCGUUGGUUGGUGUUCCAUUCUGUUAUCUUAGACUAUGCUGCCUUCUUCAAUUCCAUUCUUCGUCUCCCUAGUCGAAGUCUUCUUGCUGGCCCAACCCAGCAUUUUUGAGUGCCGUGCCAGGGCGAUAGGCGCUCCGCAGUCACGCAUGAUCACCAGAGCCUUUCUUGGCUAUGUAAAUAUAGGGCCGGAAUAAGUGCAAGAUCCUCAACAAAAUGGAUUAAGGUGGGCUUCGGAUUAUUAAUAAUUUUUUCUAUCUUGUCAUUAAGUUCUUGUUUGAAUCUGCCUUAUCACAAUAUCCCUCCUUUUAGGGAUAAAGCUAUCAAUGGCGAAUCGAGCAUUCGCUAUCCUUUUUAUUUUUUUAGCUUUGAAUGGAAGAAAAGUAAUGAAACCUGCGAUGGCUACUGAAUAACCUCCUUCUAUUUUAUUAAUUUGAAACCCUUUUACCUUUUUCUUCGUUCGCCAAAUCUUCUUCAGUUCUAUCCAAGCUCGGUUUUGUCUGAAUCUUUGUGGAAGAAGAAGCGGUUCGCCAGCCGCUACAUCCAGGGAUCCCACAAAAUCAUUAAACCCGGCGGCUGCUCGCUCUUUGAUCAGUGAUUCACCGGCCACUAGAUCGAUGAAGAAUCUCUCAAAAAUCCGCUUUUUGAUCAGUGAUUCACCAGCCACUACAUUCUUGGAUCCCACCUUAUUCUCAAACCUGGUGGCUCGCUUGAUUGGCAGUCCUGUAAGCUCAUCUUGCAUACAAAUUUUUGGGGUACCAAGGCCUGCAUCCACCAAGAACAUUUCUUCCCUUAAGCGUAAGCGUAAAACUGAAGAUUGUAAGGCGUUUCCACUACAUAAUAAGAAACUCGAAUUAGAUCUUGGAAAUGAUCGACUCCAAUAGAUGCUCAUCAUAAGCUUUUUUUUCCUCCUAUUCCUAUUGAUCAGAAGUAUCCAGCAGCGCCACGCCAGAGUGACUUCCGAAGCGCUACGGACGGGACGAAAUCCGGCAGCCAGCCAGUUGCUGGCUCGGAAUAACCAGCCCAGCAAGAAGCUAAAUUCUUCCAUAACAUAACGGGGCGGGGUUGCGCGCGAGCCGGGUGACGUAGGUGCACAAGAGUACUUCGCGCCACAACCAUCUCUUUUUUAUAGGUUCUACGGACCUGCUUCAUCUGGUAAAAAAGAGUCAUAGAUAUGCCUGUAAUUAGAAGGAAGAACCGCCAUAAAAAUCUUCCUCGUGUAUCGUCUGUAGCAGAACUAUGAACGGGAGCUAGCAAUCCGGACCGUAUUGAAAAGGUUCCUGAGACACAGCAUGGAAGAGUCAAAAUAUUCAGAAGCGAGGUCCAAUAAUGAAGAAGGGGUAGAAUUACUGAAUGAAUAAGAGCUGUGGCUAAUACCCGAGGCAUAAAAGACGCAUUUUCUACGGGAUCCCGAAACCACCAGCCACCCCGACCUAAUUCAUGAUGAGCCCACCAACUUCCUGGCGAGAUGCCUACGGUUAAAAACAACCAACAUGUCAAGAUCCAAAUUCGAAUUGGUUCCUGGUCCUGGUCAGAGACCACUGUGUUCGCGCCGGCGGUCCAACAAAGAGGCGAAGUAGUGGUGUCUUUCUUUCCAUUACGAACGACAACACGCUUCGCCUGCUCCCUCCCCGUGUCCAUUAGCGCUCCUGUCCAGAGCGAAGAGAAGGCGAAAAAGCGCCGCCGAAGCAGGCUUCUAUUGCUACGCAACAAUAGAGCAGGCGCGCCGCCCACAAAAUGUUUGAAUGAUCGGGUAAAGAGCGAGCUUCUUAUAUGGGAUCCGACGCAUCCAGCAGAGCGAAGCAGCGUUCCAUUCUUUUCGGCGGCAUCCUUCCGCAUUGGCGGCGAGUGGAGUGCCACAAUCCCAUUCAUCAUUUUUGAUCUACAUAACCCAAAGCCCAUAGCACUGGCGACGUCUCCGGCAUAAAUGCAAGGAGGAUGUAUAGCUGAUAUAGGAUCUUGUGGAACAGGAUUUGAUUCUGCAAGCGGUUCGGUACGAACGAAGAAAUUUCGAACAAAAGGAUCGGAACUCGCUGAUAGGAAAGGAGAGAAAAACAAAGCAAUGCCAAGAGCUCCGUCAAUCUGCUGUUCAUCGAUAGACGAAGCUCUCUCUUUUUCAUCUCGUGCCAGAUGUAACAAAAGAUUAGUCCUUUUUCCUUCUCGCGAACCACGGGAGCGCCCAGCGCCCAGAAGAGCAAAGCUCAUUUUCAAAACUGGGUCAAGCGGCGCAUUAAAAAGGGCUGGCCCGUUAAAAGGACGCUUACUUUGCGAACGAAGUUCAGAAUCAACAAGGGUUCUCCGAACGAAGGGAGUGUACAACUGGGGCGCAGCUCCACUUUUUUGUUGGAGAGAUAGAAUGGAGUUCUUCACGAAGUUCGAGACAAAGGAAAAAAUAAAAGUUUCUCUAUAGCCUCUGCGUUUUGAGACAUUAUGGCUUUGGGGUCGACCCCGGUACCGGUAACAAAAAAGGAAUCCAUAAAAACUUGGGAUCCAACACCAUGAGAAAAUACUACCCUCAUGAUUAGACCAUGUCCCUGAGAUUUGAUAAAAAAAAGGUGCAUUAGCGGUUAAUACGUUGUAAUUAGAUAAGUUAUUUGGAAUAUGACGGAACGAAAGACCAAGGAAAGAAAGAAGAAUGCACCAAAAUGCAGGUGCUGCACCAAACGCUGGUGGUUGUUUCUUGUUGUAAGUGAAUGCAACGAAAAGACCCGGAAAUAACAAAUAAUGAGAAAAUUCAUUUAUAGACAUUUCGUGCUCAUUUCCUAAUUUCUGCUUAGUUAUUCCCAUCAUCCGGUAACCACAGGAUGAUCCCAAUCUCCUUUUAGUAAUAGAUCUUUUUGAUAUGUCUCAGCGGCAAGGAAGAGAAAAUGCAAUGCAUCGAGUCGUUUAUCAAGAAAGUGGACGAGCUAUGGAUCAAGAUCAUAUUUAGUCCAAUUUCUACCGGUGCACUUCUCAUGAAAUAAUUCCCUUUCCAAGGAAAGGAAAACAAGAACUCGAAUACUCGUAAUAGCGAUCCCGAUCCACCUACUUUUUUUCUAUUCUUUUAUUCUAAAGCACAAGCCAUUUUUAUGCAUGGGGCAUAAGAGUGGACAAUCUAUGUUAUCGAAGGAAGUAAAUAACAACACUUCAGCGUUUCGGUCUACCCACCCUCAUUCAGUAAACCAAUAGGAUUGCAGCAUUGGAAUUAGAGUUGGCCAGGUCCUCUAAAAAGAAAAGAAGAAACUACUUAGACUUAGACUUAGAAUAGAGAAAUGCCAUUGGUUUUCUCGUACUACGAUAUCUUUUUUUUUGUUUUUGGCCAUGAUUGUGCUGCUCCUGUGAAGGCUAGUGGGAAAGCUCACCGUUCGUUGUGAUGAGUGGGGGCCUUGUAUCUGUAUUCGGAUCAGCUCCUUAACAUAGUUUCCUGCUUGAACCCUGGCUGGGAGCUGGGAGAGGUGUCCCACUACAGGUGCAAAUAAACCAUUUUACCUUUCAGGGGAAAGGAAACAAACCACUCAAUAAUCGGUAGAAAUUCCUCCUACUGAACUGAGCCAAUCUCUCUCCUUUUGUCUAGUUAGCCGGUUCUGAUUGCAGCUUCCUAUUUUCCUAUUAUUGUUUCUCUUCCAUCGAGAAGCCAUUCUUCAUAAGUCAAUAACUGGGAGCCAGUGUCAUUAAGUGGCCUAUCAGAAUACAGGUAGCAACCAUACGCACUUGGCUUGGCUGAAAAAUCCUGCUCAUAAGCCAGGUCUGUGUGCCGAGUACAGCCGUUGCCUCAGGGGAAGCGAACAAAGUCAUUGGAAUAGUUUAUUUAUUGGGUGGGUCCUUCUCUUCUCAUUUCAAGAUCGAUCAUCUCGAGUCUCGGGCUGAAUAACCUACUCUUCCUCCGAUCUGUAAAGAUGAAUUUCAAUACCUUGUUCUUAUAUGAGUUUCAUGAGUACGAUCUAGACUAUACUUAUUUUAUCAGGUUUUUUUCGCAUAGCGAGUAGAGGAAUAGUUUAUAGUUUUGGAACCACCUGAGCAGGAAUCGCUGAUCCACCUUCACUUGUUUCCUCUGGCUUCGAUUCUUUUAUUGUAUAGUGGACUACUUAGGAGCUUUAGCACUGACCCUCGUGAAAAAAAGAGCUGGGACCCACCUACUAUAGAUAUAGAUAUAGAUGGGCCUCGUUCCUUUAUAAUACGAUCUAGCUUGAUCCAUCAUCCUCAAAUUAUGAUAACUGCCUUCUAGCCGCAGCCGGAGCUACUUCUAAUCCGGAAUCCAAAGGAGUCGAGCUUUUCGUACUACCAUCGCCCGGGCAUCGCUUUCUUCCCACUGCUUUCGUCCUGUUUUAUUGCUCCUCCUCUCAACUUAUUGUUCUUGUGAAUACCGUACGUAGUAGUUCUUGUGAAUAUCAAUCUAGGCGUAGGGCUUGCAAGAUUCGCUUCGUGCCGUUGGGAAAACACUGGUAUAUGCUUAGCCCUUCUCUUCCUUGAGGUUUAAGGGGGAAAGAUAUCGUCUUCUAAACUGAGGAGAGUUAUGUAUCGCCUUAGCUUAUCUGCUGCCUUGUUUUACGAAUCUGACUUCACCCUAAAGAACAAUAAGAAGUCAAUGGGUUUGGUUUCUGACCGCACUUCUCUACAGGCAUCCCACCCGUCCUCUUCCUCCAGCAGCUCAAGGUACGCACAGGAAACCACAUCUUGAACCACGGAAUUAGCCGUGAUAGGUUUCUUCUUCCGCUCGGUACUCAUCUACCCUAAUCUUCCCCUCGCAGUGGAUUCCACUAGGUUCUUAACCUCUUCCCAAUUCUUAAACUGAAACCUGCGAUGUCUAAUCCAACUCGGCACCUAACCAGCUUGUCAGCAUCGUAAGUUUGCCUCAACAUUCCCCCUAGAAAUAGAAUAAGAAUGUAAAUCUACUUUCAUUUAGGGAUGAUACUUUCUUUUUUUUUCUAGAACUAGAAUAAGUAAGUAUGCUCUGGAGUAAAAGGAUUCGAACCUUUGCAUGCCGGUACCAAAAACCGAUGCCUUACCACUUGGCUAUACUCCAAACGGUCGGUUCCUGGGGAGAGGGGGAAGGGAGAAGCAGGGCUCGAAGAAAACGAGCCGUGCAAGGACGCGGGGAUAUAGCAAGUAAGCUGCAAGGUUUUCCCUUUAGGACCGACUACAACAAGCUCGCGACUCUAAUAGAAACUAAGGGUCAGCUCUCUGCUCUAUUUGCUUGCAAUGCGUUGCCUAUCAAAGUCGGCGAACGCUUCCACCCCCUCUUGCCCUUGUUACGCAACACGCCAACAAAGAACCUUGGUUCCGUUGCGCCCUGUACUGUAUUCCGAGGCGACCAUUUCGCGCGGUUCGAUCCAUUUCCCGAUCCGAAAAAUCCGAUAACGUACCUAUAUGAGUGGGAUGGAUGGUAAAUCAUUUGCAGUCUUUUUCGGCAGGACCUAGACACGGAGGUUCGGGAAGUAGCGCAUGACAGCAUUCACUGGUGAAAGGACUGGCAGCAGCGAGAGCAUCAUAGUUGACAUGGUCGGAGCUACAGUCCCCAUAUCCGUCUCUACUCUUUCUGUAAUUGACUCCCUCCCGCUCCCGUCCAUCAAAAAGUGUUAUUUCCUCCAGCUCCCUCCGAUGCCGGUAGAUUAGAUUAAUUCAUUGACAAAACCCAUUGAUUCCAAGCAAGAGGAUGCGCCUAGCGCUAGUUGCUCAAUCCGUUGCUUGUUUGGUGAUAAAAUCGCUGAUGCGAACUCGGUAGUGCUACUGAAACCACUUUGUGCAUCUUCUGUUGCCAGGAAAGAAAGACGUGCUGGGUCAGUCCGGCACGUCACGCUUGCUAAUACGGCCCGGCUGCCCCUAUACAGAAAUAGUUUAAUCGAUUGACCGACUUUACUUUACUUUAUCGCACGCAUAGAUAGUUUCGACUGCAGAGGCUAACCUACUGUGAUCUCAUUUAGUUGGCAACUCGACUCCAACCCGAUCUAGAAGAGGAUUUCUUUAAAUCAAUAGCACUUCUCUCUCAACUGUGCAGUCGACCACAAAACCAUGGAAUUUCUAUAUGAAAAUAAGAGAUGCUUCUAGGGACAAUCAAGAUCACUAGGAAAGAGCUGAGUUAAAGUGGCACUCACUUGAUUAAAGGGUUUCGUGUGUACUGACUGAUCUAAGUGCAGAACCAUUCAAGAAACGUAAUUGAAAGAAAGAAAGAGCGCUAUUCUUCUUUAGUUAGGUACUGCCAUCAAUGAGUUUGCUAAGAAAGACCCCGGUGGAAUAUUUGGCCUGCUUACUAACUUAUAGGCUUCAGAGGGGACCCUUUCUCGCCCAGCCCCACCUACAGGGAGUGUAGGAUUUCGUUCGCAACUCUUUUUCCUAGAAAUCUCAAUCCAGCGAGUCACUACUCUUUUUCUCAAACAAGAAGCUGACAAAGAGAUCCAUCCAUUUCUAAGUUUGUCUCCACCUCAUUGGCCAUCUAUUUUAUUUUCCCAAGAGACUGGUUUGAUUCCACCAGAGUCUCUCUUAGCGCAUAAGUUGAAAUUCAUUCAGAUUAGCAUGAAAACCAUUCUGCAAGAUAUCAAGAAAUUCUUUAAAUAAGUCAUCAUUCAUUAGCGCGUAAGAGCAUUCAUUCUAUCAACGAUAUUUCUCGAACUGGCGCACUUCCAGGAAAGUAGGAGAUUUCUCGUAAGGAUUAUACGUGAUUUUCCCAUUAUGUGAGCGUGCAUUUCCUCAAUCAUUAAGAAUUGGGCCUUGGGAAGAAAAACUAGUUCUAUGUCAAUUCUACAGCCAGAGAAAGAAUCAAGUCUAUCUCACUCAUAUAGUGGCUGCCAGUGGCACUAUUUCUUUUCCAGACAAACCUUUUAUUUUAUGGUAGUUUCACUCCGAUUGCGGGAGGGAAGCAGGGCUAUAGAAAUCAGUUCAGAAAAGGACUGAUUGAUAGACUCAAUUUUACGGAGAAGAAAGGAAUAUUCACAGCAUUCAUCACUUCUAUAUUUUACUAUGAUUUUUCGAGCGUGUAUAGAGCCUAUCUAGCUCUAUUUCCUAGUUUCUCCUUUAAGUUGUGAGGAUUGAGUUUGCUUUGAUUCUGGUUCAGGGCAAGGGCUACUUUCUUGAGUUCGUAUAAGCAUGGAUCUAAUCUUACCUGGAUUGGUUAUCGAGAUGAGAAGACUGGCACUUUAAAGCGGGUAACGUAUAGGAUAGUCCAAGUAGAGAGGCCGGGUCUUAUACCAGUAGCUUCAACCCAGUAGGUUAUUUUGACUGGGCCUUUAGUUGGCAACUCGACUCCAACCCGAUCUAGAAUCAGAUUUCUUUUUUGCGAACUCAUAACUUAGCUAAAUGGGGAGAACGAAGAGGCGUGGGAAAUUGGGGGACGGACUCCUCAAUACCGGAUGAAGUUGGCUUACUUAAGUCCUUGGAGCUUCCCCCGCGGUAGAAGAAUCUAUCUUAAGGAUAUCGUCGGCAUCACAACGAAGACACACAUUCCGCACUACUUGCUCAUCCCAUGACUUCCCAUCAGCUUUCCGUAGAUCCCUCACAAUCGAGUUAGGCCGAUUAGGGAAUUUCUCUCUCUUCGAACCUUGGGAUCCAGUAGUCCACCCAAACUUGCUGUGCUUAAACCAUCUCCAAUGCGCCAGAUCAGACCCGCCAAAAGAGUUUCCCUUGCAGCACAAACACCCUCCUCCAUGUGAUCGAAGCCUGAGGCGGAACCUUUGCUUUGCCCUUAGACAAUCUCUAUUCGGGUAGUCGCGCCCUUGAAGCACCUGAGCACAUAGAGAAUCAACGGCAGUCAACAGACUUCAUCUCAACUGAGUGUGCCGGUCCCAGGUUCUCCAGUGGAGUCGAUAUGUGUGAGUUGAGUCUAGCAGGGGCAGGGGAGUGAGAAUAGUCGACAGUUGAAUAGCUUGGCCAGAGAAAGAGGGAAUGAAUGAUCGGUCUCGUUCUGGAUCUCUUUCCUUGCGCCCUAGUCCAUUCCAUCUAUCUUGACUGCAACUUGGAUUCUUUCUUGACUGCUAUUUGGAUUGGUAGUCCGUCAAAUCUCUAAGCAGGUGGCUAGAAAACCUUCCGGAAUAGGAGGAAUAUCAGAUAGUUUCUCUUCUCAUCAGGAAUGGAAUUCGGUUUCCAAUCUGGUCACACAUGACUCUUGUCCUAAAGCAAUUUAUUGAUUAGGAGCAGUGGGUGGCCCAUAGAAAGGAAUGCCUGCCUAUCCAUAGCCGGGCAAAUUGCUGCAUAUUCAAGUCACCCAAUUCUCUUCUCUUGCACUAUGUCUAUUGGAAUGGACCCUUGAUUCUCCAGCAGAUCCUCCUGGUAUGGAAGGAUAUCAUCCACAAAACAGAUUGCUGAAAAUGCCAUGCCAUCCAAGUUCGCAAAGGAGCGGUCUUCCUAAUCUCUCUUUUGUUUGUGGGAAUCUCUAGUGAGACCUUUUGAUUUCCGGGGUUUCCUACUGUCUUUUGACUUUGGCGGACUCUGCAUAAAAUCUUGUAUGGUGGUCCAGUUAUUUCUAGAAUAUUUCACAGGAUGAUCGUGUGCGGCUCCUAUCCAGCUAACCAAAUGGAUCAGUACCUGUUUGCGAAUUUAUCUUUCCCAAAGUGGACACAAUGAUUCGAAAUUAAGGAAAUCUCCGAAUUCUCAAUGUGCAUUUUCUGGUCCUUUCUUAUGGACAAUUCCGUUUUCCCAUUGGCAUAAAGACUUGUUUGACUACGAUCCACGAACCAAUUCACAUACUCAUCGGAUCUAUCCUUCGAAGAGAGUUGAUCCGCUAUUUGCAGGACUUCCGCACCCUCGAUAGAAUGAAUGAAAUGACUGAGCAUAAAAUCCUAUAUAGCAAGGAUAGAUUAUACGGAAUAGAAGAGUCGGUUCUAAGCUAAUCAAAGUAUGAAUUCCCAUAGCAAUAGCAAAGAAAAAGGAAGCCCAUAUCUGAUAUAUUGCUGAGGCAUCUUGGGAAAGAGGUGUGUCUCGCAUCCGCCGGCUAUGAAUUCAAUGAGAAAAUCCAUGUGACACACGCAGAUCAAUACGGAAAUGGCAAGGCAUUCAACUCGACCCAUUCAUUCUCGACCAUACGCCCUUAGCUCCCAACUCUCUGACCUGCCUCCCUUAUACUAAAUACUAAGACCGGUUUAAGAAGAGAAGUAUUUGCUUGCUUGCCGGUUGAAGUCUGCUCGUCGCAUUCUAGUCGUGCGUGAUAGAAUAGGCCCACAUAAAGAGAAAGCGGAGACCUUCCCAAGGUUACUCAUCUAGAUCUGGAUAAUCACUAGCUAUAUUAUUUCCUGCUCCUAAAUUCUCGUAAAUAGAGGAUAGGCCCGGCCCGGCACCCCACAGUCACGGCACCUCUAAGAAGACACCUAUUCCCGGCGCACUCCAUGUGAAAGACACCUAUUCUCGGCACUAUUCCAUAGCACACACACUUAUACUUAAGUAGGCAUAGCUCCGUUAAGAGCUCAUCGAACUUUACUUCUAGUGAUAGAAGGGGUAAAGGUGAAUUUAAGUCCUCUUUCUCUCGGAAAUAUACGCCACAUGCCAGUGAUCGAUCUCUCUCAAGCUAGGUAUCGGUGAAGUCCGUCAUGGAAUUGAAGUGGUAGAGUGGUAAGUGGGCGUACGGUCUAUGGAUUUCCUAUCAGUGGCAUUAGUUCCUUCUCUAGAUAGAUGGCUAUUGAGCUUCUCAUUCGUGAGAGUCAUGCGCCGGAUCAAGGGCUCUCUCAUCUCCUAUUUGGAAAUGUAUAGGUUCUGUAAGUGGCCAGUGCCCGCGAGUAAAGGCAGAUCAUCAAAAGUCAUCUAAUCCAUCUAAGUGCCGGUAUUGCCCAGUGCUUGACUGGAGUUGUCAUGAUACCCGGAUACUCACCUCACUAUACGCCAAUUCAGGGAAAGGUCAUGCUGGGAAGCUUCCUUGAAAGAUAGUCUCAACACUCUCGAUGAGAAACGAGAACCCAGCCAACGAAGGUUUAUGCAUAUAUUGGUCCGCAUCCAGAGGAAGUCAAGGUUUCCAGAUGUGCUCAUCCCUGCUUGCUGAUAUGCAAAUCGAUUGGAAUUGGCAAAUCAUAGAGUUUGUCGCUGACAAGAGCUGUUUUGGCCAUGGUGAUCCUCCUCUCAAUACCCAUUCCUGCGAAUUCCCAAUCCAAUUAUAUUAGUAUAAUGUGUAGAAGAAAAAGGGGAAUCCAUGAGAAAGCCCAUAUUGUUCGUGGCAAUGGAACAUUCCUUUCCACUUUUGUGAAUGGAGAUCACUGACGAGCACUCUUGCGCAAAUCAAGAGUCAAGGUAGGAGCUAUGAAGCUGUCCCGGGUAGGAAAGGAUCCCUUUGAGUUCAUAUUGCUGCAGGAGAAAGAGAAGGGCACAGAGCUUCUAUAUACCACUGGAUUCCACCAGACUGUUCUGUGGAAAACACGGCACCCUAUCCCUUCCCUGACGGGAACCUGGAUACCAUAGCAUAGGAACCUCGAAAAUACGUAUUAUAGGUUGGUUGUAUACACACUCAUCCUUUAAGAAGAUAAGAGAGCCCCGCGGACAUUUCAUUUCCUUCCUCGAAACCUGGAAACUGAUACUGCCUCGAUUCUGCUUCCGUCUAUCAUGUCCAAUCUUACUUUCGUGCCGAUGAAGGGCAGUCCGGAAGGUGGAGUUAGCACCGGGCCGGCCUAUUCUUAGAAGCUGAAGUAGGAGUAGGAGCACUCUUCUUCCUCACCUCAAGCGUAGCCGUAUUAGUUGGAUCCGGCAUCCUUUCGACUGGAGAUACCCUCGCAUUACCGGCUUCCCGGCAUACUGGCAAGUUUACUUGACUCACCCAUUCUUGAGACUGGCCACUACUUUGUUUGAUUUCCUUGUCACUGUAGUAAGCAAGCGGCACCUAUUGAUCUACUUCCCUCUAGCAUCACUCAUCCUUACGGCACUAGUCCAUCCAUCCCUCGACCGAAGAGAGUCUUCCUCCUCACGGAACUAGGGUUGGUUUGGUUUCAUAGACAAGACUUUCGAGCGCGACGUUGCGCACAUCCUCUUGCUUGGUAUCUUUUCUAGUGUGCAUCACAUUCAUUUUCCUUUCCUUUCAUGUAGAUAUGAUAAUCUUCGUGGCAUCAACCUCAUAUAGGAGCUGCCAGUAGUACUAGUACUAGUACUUUCGCGGGAUUUGAAAGCAGGCAAACUUAUGAUGCGAGUCUAGUUAGAUUAGAAUAGAACCAGCUGAAAUCCGAACCAACCAAUACGCUUCGCUUUCCUCUGCUCGUAUAGACUCCGUUCGUGUUAGGACAUCCAUAGCCAAUAGUAAUAGUAGCUAGUAGCUUCGCCCCCCCUUGCCCCCGGAAAGGUUCUCAUUCCUCACUGGAUCUAGUUGACUUGCUGCUACAGCAAUCAAUCUAUCUAUAUGUUCCGGACGGAAGAGAGAGUUUCCUACAUUCCCAUUCCCAUGAACUGAACAUCGGGUACCAACGAUCUGGAAUCCCGUGCUACAGAUAUGCACCUGUGCGGAACCAACCUGGCAAUCCUCCUGUCUAUUCUUUCUAUCUGGACUAGCGCUUCCCACUGGAGCUUACUACUUGACUAGAGCACUUGAACUUGUUAGUUUCAUUAGUCAGUUUCCUAGCAUAGCAAAGUGAGUUUCCCAUCAACGGAUUAUCAUCCUGUUGUUUCCAUGAACAUCAGGUACAUAUAUGAACCUGUCAACGGAGCGGAACAUAUGAUAUGAACCAAGUAGAUUCGUCUUUUUGCUCGUCAAUAUGCUCGUAACAUUAGUCGUUACUCGCUCGUUAGUAGUUACUCGCUCAGCUCAUUAGUAGUGAACUAUGAUCAUUUGUGAGGAGUAUGUUUUCAACUCUAUGUAUGUCAAUUCGAGAGUAGAGCGAUCUAUGUCAACCAAGAGCAGAACUCUCUCUAUUUCCGGCACAGGCUUUCUUUCAAUCAAGAAGAAGAUUAUUUCAGAUUUUAUCACUAUCCGGACUGCUAUCUACUAUCUACCUAUCUAUCUACCCGGGCUCGUUGUGAGGCGGGACCCAACCCUCCUCUUCACUCCACUGCUUCAACAGAAAUGGAUCCAUCAUCUGCUACCCAUGAGUAAUAACGUUACGAAUCUACCACUGAUCCCGAGGGCAAGUAUGAAAAAGAGAGUCAAGCAAGGUUGGAUUCGUAUGUUCCAUUUGAGUAAGCCUCUGAUGCCCUGCGCACAUAGCUUCUUGCAUGCCCGAUGGCAGAUCUCCCAACCUGGAGUAUAUUCCCGGCCCCGUAGCUUAGCUUAAGAUCUUCGUAUUUCAAGUCCACCGGCAUGGGACCUGACCUUGGGAAUAAGCCCCGCCCUGUCCUCUAAGAUAUGAGAUCCACCCACACCCAAACCUGGAAAAGCGGCAGGCUCUAGUCGAACUCCAUACCAGAAGAGAACCCUUUCCGUUGGAAGAAAGAGAAAAGGGGCCGGGCUAUGCACUUCAAGAGAACCAACCCAAGAAGCACUCAAUAAACUAUUAUAUAUAGUCCUGGCCACCAGAUCAAGCUAGCAGGAAUGGGUACUACAGCACCAAGAAAGAUCGAUGGAAAGGGAUAUGAAACUAUUUUAGAUGCACGCUCUAGCUCUAAAGCAAGCUUAUACGCACUCAUAAAGGUGCCGUCUAGUGCCGUGAAGAUAAACCGAUUCUCUGACCAUCCCUCGAGAUAGCCUUUUAUUCUCUUUAAGGAAAGGAUCUGGGAGCCAUAUAAGGAUGAGUUAGCCGUAGGAUAUGAUUCCUUCUUGCUUGUUGGGAAGGGAAUAAGGGGAUCGAGAAUGAUGCUGCAAACAAGAUAAGGGAUUCACCAAGGCAGUAUUACUAUUACUAUUACUAUUACUAUGGAAAUGGAAAUGGAAAUGGAAAUGGUAUAGAGCUAGCCCAGAAAAGAGAAUCCAUGGCAUGGCUAUUCACUCAAUCAAAAGAGAAGGUCAUAAUCUGGAAACUAUUCUCAUACAGAAGGGUUCUACGCUAGGAAUCACUAAACUAGACGAGCACUUCUCAAGUGCCAGCUAGGAAACUGUCUGUACUGUAAACCAACCACCCGUAGAGAACUUUUAGUAGAUGGAAGCGAGCUCCCUAGUCCUAUUCGACCCACUUGGAAUUCCCUUAUGUGAAUCAUUCAUGUAGCAUUGAUAUACGAGAAUUCGAGAUUGCUCCACCGGGCCUGACUAGUAAAUACAGUAUACGGGGAAGAGAGUCUUCUGAACCUGAAACCUAUGAAGCAAGGAAAUCACUCUACUCUGCAAGCUAUUCCACUGGAAAGGACAGGUUUCUAAAGGAAUGGGAUUAGUACUACUUAAUUAAGGAAGGGAUGAGUGCUGUCUUCCGGGCGGGGGUUCUAGCAACUAAAGCAGUGGAAAUGUUCUCGUUCUCUCAUGCUUCAAAGCACAGAGUUGUGCCUGGCAUUCCCAUUUGUCUCUCUCUGUCGAAAGCUAGGUCAAAGGUGCCUGUGCUCGAAAUGCAACAUCACUCACUUGGUCUAGUGGGUCGGGGUUCAUCAAGCUUUUCAUCUCCUGAAGCGUAUAGAAUCCGCUCUUUAAGGUCGAGAAUCCGCUCUGCUCUGGAAGGUCGAGUCGAUUAGGCCUUGUCAUCAUGUCAUCGCACUCCACUGGUAUCAAAGUUCUCGGCCCUUUUCUUAUAUUACUUUGAUUAUAUUAUAGAAGUGUGCCCGGUCUUGUCUCAGCAUUCGAGGUUGGAUGUGUUUCCUCAGUCAUCGUUCGAGGAAAGCUCUUGGCAUCGGUCGUAUUCUCUUCUCGUUCUGUUGGGAGCUGAUAUCCGUCAUGGCAAGAGGAAAGGAAUGGGAUCGGCAUUGCAUUGGUUGGUACCAGUAGCUGUAGCAGCAAGUAGGUCGUUGGGAGCUGAUUGUGUUAGUAGCUAGAAUCCUGGUUGGGAAACAGCAUUAGCACGAAACCAUUCUAUCAAAGCUAUUUCGAGAACAGCCAGCCUUCUUGAGUAAUAGGGCUUUCAGGCUCGCUAACCUCAGUGGGCUAUCGUUAUUUGUUUAGUAUGGAAUCGCAUUUGGUACCCCCUUGCUUCAGCAGACGGAAAGAAAGCAAAGACGCUUCUAGGAAUGCAUAUUCAUUCGAGUCAAGCGUUGAAGCAGGACUGGCCGGCCGGUCUGUAAACGAGAUCUAGAGAAGAAGCCAGGGAAUUUCUCUUGUCAAAGAAUCCCCGUUCUCUAGCAGCAAGUAGAUCGUAGGGAUCAGUGGUAGUAGGUAGCGAGACAAGAAAUGACAAGUCAACCAGAUAUGGGGAUGCGCUUGGAGAUCGGAGAAUUGCUCCACUCCGUUCCCAAUAGCAGUAGAAUCAUAUGGUCAAUACAAACAAGUGCAGGAUGUCAAUCAAGUGACAGAGCCGGGGCAGAUGAUCUUUAGCCAACUACUCCUUAUGAAUCUGAAUGGAAUGCAUAUCUCAAUUGGGAAGAAAGCAAAGGUCGAGGGUCAAUACUUGAAAAUGAAGGAUCAGGAGAUGCAAACUAAGAUUUCCGAUCUAGAUCUGGUUCAUCACCGGCACCCAAUGGUUUUCUUCGGAGAAAGAUCAGAUAUUCGUUUAUUCAGUGCAAAUCCGGAUUCCGGCACCAAGGAUCAACCUCAUUGGCCUCCAGCUAGACUGUUGACUCCAUUUUGCUUUGCAUAUAUAGGAGAGCCACAUUUCAUUUCUCGAACUAGAGGGAAUAGACCUAUUUGCUUGCCGGGACCGGGAUAUGAUCACCUUUGCUUGGUUCAUAGCAGCUGGUGGAUACGGUUUCAUUCUAACCUUUGUUGACUUCGGGCAAGGUCAAGUAAGUCAUGGGAUCUAUCUAGCUCAUAAAGUGCCAGUGCCAUUGAAGACUUGGCUAUCAGUUGUAUUGGACCCAUGACCAAUAGAGAGGUUGCCAUUACGGCCUGUGUUCGGAGUACUGCUCCUCCAGAAUAGAAUGGUUCACACGUGAAAGUGCUUCGAAAUAUGAGGUUGAGAAGACCUGCCAGGUUCUGUCUCAGUGGAUUGAAAUCUCUAUCGGCAAGCGUACUUAAAGGAGAACUGAAAAAUCAGUUAGAGGGGCGUUAGCGAAGCUAAAAAUAAUAAACCCACCUAAACGUCAAAUGAAGAAGCUGUAAUAAUAGAUAUAGAAGAAUGCCUACCCUUGUUCUUAAUAUAAGGCCGCCAAAGUUCGAGUUUCCUUCCAGAGCAAUCUGAAGACUCCUUCAUAUCGUUGCCUUUACGAAAAGAUCGAAUCUCUUUAAUAUAAUAAAAUAUCUGGGCGUAGCGUAAGUGAAGUCAAGCUCUGUUCAUUUGAAUUCCGGCUCAUAUGUUGAGCGUAGACAAGUCUUUCUCAAGGUAGGUCUUGCUUGUUGCGAAGUCCGUUUUCCGGCCUUAGAAAGCAAUUUCUCUUUGCCUCGAUCAGUAGGCCCUAACGGCUCUAUGUCCACCUCAAUUUUGAGGGAUAGAAUAGAAUAUCUUCUUUGUGAGUCGGGGUAUGUAUCCUUUGAUACAGGUAAGGCUCGCAGGGGUGAAGUGGGAAGUUUUUACUGCCGGAGAGAAUGAAUAGAAGUCUUGCCUUGCUUCUCACGUUUCUGUGUUCGUAGAAGCUUGGUCUAUGGUUUCCUGUUUGUUAGCUUUGCUGCUCCAAGCAUAGUUGGUGGAUAGCUUAAAGGUGAGUGAGUGAGUCGGCAGGCUUAUGUGAUAGUAAGGGUCUAGUAAGUCAAGGGUGCCGCAGUCUAUAUCUUAGUUUAGUAUAGUACGCCCUUAAGUGACAGAAGGAGGACAGGGCGCUAAGCAGAGAAAGAGCUUCCAAUGCUAGAGGCGCGUGCAUUGAGUAAGAAGUUUGAUUUGAGGAGGAGCCCGAGAAGAAGCUUGCCGCGUUGAGGGUUGCUUCACUUUCCGCUGGGGCCUUGAGGAAGGAUAGGGCUGCAAGGAUACUAGCAAAUUGGCUGAUAGGGACCGGAAGCGUAUUCGAAGAAUUGUAGAGAGACCGGGCGCGGCCUAAUUCAUGGUUUUCUUCCUUGGGAAAUCCUCUGCCAUUUUGCCUAGUCUGAGAAAUCUUCGUAUGUUUCUUUACAUGCCUUUGUAUAAAGACAAUCAUUGUCGGACGGACUUCUUAACUUAAUAAAGAGAAGGGCGCGGCAGUCGACUCUGCUCCUUGGCUUGGGGUGGGGAGUUCCGCUUUCGGAAUACGCAAAUUGGACUUCUCCAUUGGAAAGAGCAUUGGAUUUCCAUUUGCUUUCUUGGGGAUCACCACUAUCUCGAUUUUGACACCGGCACUUAGGGUAGGAGAAGGAGAAAGAGACAAGUUUCCACCUCAUCCGAGUCAGAGCUCUCAGUGACUUCCCCCAUAGCAACGGGAGAUGAUCAGCCCAUCACCCUAAAGGAAAGGAAAUUCGAAGAAAUAAGAUCUGAUCUUUCAGUGAAAUAAGCAUCUACUAAUCUAACUAGCGAACCAAUAUGUCUAUCAAUAGCCCUGGGUUCUUACCUUGUCUUGACUCUUCACCGAGUGAAAGUGAUACACUACUACUUUAGGUUCGAACACUACGGCAUGUUACGAACAUUAAGGCACCUAUCCUUUCAAAAAGGAAUCAAUGGCGAACGUACGCUAUCCAACAGAAGUCCCGACCGAUAUGACUAUUCAUCCUUAAGCGAAUGCUGGAACGAAAGUAACCCUCGAAGUGAAAUAAAAGCAAAGGGCAAAUCAACUAAUUGUUCUCUAAUACCACCUCCUCCUGUAUCUACUAUUGGUUGACUGAAAAUUCAAAAAAGAAAAAGUUGCACAUCUUCUGAAAAGAUAAGGGCUCGGUAUCGGCUCAAUCGAACAAGCUGAGGUAUAUAGGGAAUAGUAGAACAUAUUGAUUAUCCUAUUGGAUUGGUUCCGCUCAGUCGAGAUAUGAUGACUCAAUAGGCAUUGAGAGUUUCGAUUCAAUGUGGGAAUGACUAAGACAAGUUAGGCUAAACAGAUAUGCAUGCACCAUAGAGGUUUAUCCACCAUAGGUUUGUACACAAGAAUAGUAGUCACAGCGAGGGAUGCACAUAAAUCAGAUCUGCACUGGUAUAAGUGAUAGGUUUUGGAAACAGCAUAAUGAACGUAACGCACAGAUGGAAUAGAACUAAAUGGAAAGUCGAGCCUGCUGAUAGGGGAUGGGAUCACCUUCAAAUCGAUUUAAAGUGGCCUUAAAAGUGGAUUAAAAUGGGUUUCUAAAAAAGUGCAAUAACUUAAUUAUCAAAUGCCAGGCUUAUACCAUUACGACUUGUGAUUUGUUUACGGUAUGGACUAUUGAACAAGUAGUUUUACGGUGAUAACAAUAAGAAGAAACAGUUUCCACUAAUGAGCGGAGGUAGCCGUCACUCAGUAAUUCAUGUUAUCUCACUAGGCAAGUCAUCCCUACGCCAAGUCCAGUUGGCUACCGGGAUCAAACCGCUUCGCUUGCACAGGCCUAGAAAUUCUAACAAGAACAACUCCCUAGCUGACAUCUUAACCAACUACUUCGUAAGAGCCCCACCUCCGAGAAAUUACCAGAGGAUCAACAAAGCAAGACAAGCCAGACCCUACGGCGUCUUUGUCUAUUUCGUUCACUACUCCUCCUGAAAAUGCUAGGCUAGCCAGUACUAUUGAGUACUAUGGACUAUGGUGUACUAUCGAGAGAAAAACAAGUCCAUUAAAAAAGAAUAAACUUCUAUUUAGGAGGGAAACGAGAAAAUGCAUAGAUCAAUAUCUGCAUGAAUAGCCGCUGCAUAAACAACUCUAGCUCUAACUCAAGAAAAGAACUACAAAGAACAAAAGAAGAGUUUCUCCUCUGCAAAGUAACAGCAAGUGAAAUUAGCUCCCUGUCGGGAUAGAGAUUCUCUAUUAUCUUGAACUCACUCACCAAUACUUUAAGAUCGUCAAUAGCACACUACCUCUCCAAGGCAGUGCACUAUUUCCUCAACAAAAGAGAAGAAGUAAACGAUUGCCAGGUUGUAAGCACUUUGAGAUAUUGGCCUUCGGCUUAAGAUAGUUACUUGACUUAAAAGCAUUCUCGAGAUCCUUAUCAUUUAAGGAACAAGAAGAGAUUGUCUACUCUCGGCAAUGUAAGAAGGUUCGUGAAAUAGCACCCUGUCGGGGAUCAAGAUUCUCUAUUAUCCAAUCCACAUUCCCACUCUCCUUAUUCAUACAUCAGUUCAGCUACAACAAAGAAGAUAUCCUUCCCAUUCGUCUUGUCAGUCUUUCAUUUCUUUGGUUUAGUUAGGAAUAGGCAUGAACUAGGCUAGCAGUUGUCACCAAAGCAAGGGACUAGCUUAUCUUUUCAGCGAGACUCUAGAAGAUAGGCUCAGGUCAAGCAUUCCCAUAUGCCGGUAGAAAUCCUUCUUAGCCCUCAUAAAGCAUGCAUCACAGAGUCAUAGGCAUAUGCUCCUUGAUAAACUAGUUGGCAGGCUAGGUUCCGUAGUCAAGGCCGCAGGUUUGUGAAGAGCCGAGCUAAUUAGGCGACCCACAGCACCAUUUCAUCGAGGACAUGAGACGUGGUAAGCCAAUUGGACCUGAAAAGGAGAGACAAGCCAGGACCCGAGUGGUUAAGUAGUAGCUGCAUUGGUGCUACAGCCGACUGUCGUCGAGAGGAUUCGGCAGGCGAAGAGUUGCGAUGCUAUACUUAUGAAAAUAAGAGCGAUGGUUGAGAACAGCUGCUCCCUUUCCCCGUAUAGGCUCUGCUGGUACAUUCCAGUUCGUAGAGCGAAUCUGUGUCCCAGACGAUCGACUGACAGCUGAAGCCUUUCAGAGGCUUACGAAUCGUGAUAUACGAUCCACUCUCCUGUGAUACUAAGAUUUCUCCGCAGGAUCCCUGGGAUUUCUACUGGUGGAAAAAGAAGGUAUGGGAGUCACCUUCCUGCAGACAGAGAUCGAAGAGCUUGUAUUGGAACCAUCUCAUCCCAUUGGUGUUUAGAACAACGCUUCGCUCCUUAGCGGCCUACUCAAACACCUACUAAAGCUACUCAGGGUACUUCUUAACAAACCAUGUCAAGCUACCUUGCUAGUUCUAUUCCUGGCUAUCCGUGGGUGGUUCAUAUCCAACUACUACUUGUUGCCCUUGCACAAAUGUCUAUCAGCUAUUCCCAUGCCUAUCCUUUAAAUAAACGUAUCUUGACUAAACGCUUAUCUUCUAUUUCGAACUCAAAACUACUACUUGUUUCGCUCGCCUAUCUAGCUCUAUGAAAUACGGAUAUACCGGUCCUAGCGUUCUCCUUCAAUGGUCUGUUCCAUACUUCUUUCUAUCUAGACUUGUUAGCCUCAACGUUACGCAUCCGUCCUAUCCCGUGUCACUAACCCUAGCCCUAUCCAACCAAGCCGCUCUUCCUCAUUCGAGCUAAAAGCUCUCCCUCGUCCAGGCAUCCGGGCAUUCAUUUCACUGCAUUUCCCUCAUUCAAUCACUGCAUGAAAAAGAAGCCAUGAUUGCAUUCCACUUGUCGUUGAUAGGACAAGUUCACUGACUAUAUGCGAGUAAAGACUACAGGGAAGUAGUCUAAAAACAAGUAAGUAAUAAGUGGAUUCUCCCUAUAGAGCAGAGCAUAGUGACAAAAGUUCCAUUUAGAUAUGGUUGUAUCAUAUGUAUAUAAAGAAUGUACUCGCAAUGAACUGGCUAAGUCCAACCAACCAUGAUGGCAGCCUGCCCCCCUAUAGCCAAAGCAAGCGAUAGCAAAUAGUGAUUUUAUGGAGUAAGCUUCGCUCCGCGCCAAUUAGAAAAAAGUGAAAAGACUCUAUGCUCUGCUCAUAUAGAUAUGGGAUUCCUACUGGGGUUCAUGACAACUAUUGUGACUAAGGCAAAACGUGAAAGAAAAAGGCCGCUAAGGAAAAGCACCCCGUUUAAAGAGAUCCUAUGAGGUCUUUGCUAUCGCUUUCCACUUUCCGGGGAGGCUUGAAAGCUACUACUCAACAAGGUCGAGCUCCACGAUGGACCAUUCAAACUUCAUACUACCGGGACAAGGACUAGACUAGACGGCUGCUUUCUCUGUUCAUGCUCCGGCAUAGGGGAUCUACUAGCGGUAGGAUAGGGGACAGAGUGCAACUAGUUCCCGAAAAUGACGUUUACUUUCCUUAGGAUCCAUUUUCUAGAAAGUUUGUUUUCCUCUCGCCAAUUAUUUACGGAGCUAACUUGCGGGUUUGCAUUCCAGUCUGCGAGCAAUGCAACGAAGUGCGUCUUUCAUACCAGGAGACCCCACUGCAGCUGGCAAGGUCACCGGGAUACGGCCGUCCUUUCUUAAAGAAUGGAAAACAUGGCGCUAUUGUAUCCCCAUCCCCAGCCUGUUCGGAUCAUCUUGGCAUAGCACACCUCAAAUGCUUUCCAUUCAUUACUGGAAGAAGAACAGCAUUUCUCUAUGCGCCAAUGGGAAUGCCACUGUCUUUUCUGAACGGAAGGGUACGUACAUCCGUAUGGAACCUGGCCAGUGCUAAAGAAGAGGAGGAGGGAAAUGCCAGUGUUGUGCCGGAUCUCUUUCUUGGAAUGGAAUCAUACUUUUGAACGGCACUAUUCCACGCGCCUCUAAAUCCCGUAGGGGAGCUCGCGAGAGAGCGGUCCGCUUCACAUCGCUAACUGAGAUGAGACUACUUCCUUUCCUAACUGAGAUGAGAAGACUUAGACCAGCUGACAUAUCAAGCAGUCAACCUUCUAUUGAGAUUGAGAUGGCGAUAUUGAGAUGGUAUACUCACUUCUACUUCUACAAGCCCAGGAAGGAACCGAGAACUACCACUUACUUUGACUAUUAUAGAAAGCGGGAGAAGGGAGGGCAAGCAGUUUGCGGCUCUAGACUAGACAGACAACUAUUCUUUCUGGUGCAGGUGAGAAUAGAGCCUAUCCAGAUCGCGAUUCUACAUCAGGAGAAGCAAAUACAUGGGAUGGGCUACACACACUCAUGACUAAGACAAGCAAGGUUUCCGGUGAAAAGACAGAUUCCUAGCUGGUAAGGAUAGGUUUCAUAGACAAGACAAUCCAAGAAGGGUUCCUUUUUCUUAGCUUCCUUCUCCUUGGUGUGGUGAUGGGAGGUUUCUUACAAGGUCCGUUCUGUUUCCUGCUCUCCGGUUUCCUGUGACAAGACAACUCGAUUCUCUGGUUCUAUGUAUGCUAAUACUACCUAGGCUAGGGUCGGUCUCUCACAUCAGGAUGUGUCCCUGUCCCGGCCAAGGGGCGAUCCUUCCACGCUCUGGCACUAGUGAGAAGACACCCAUUGGAUGAUGCUUGUCCUCUCUAUGGAUGGAGCUUUGGCCAUUCCUCAAACGGAAACGGAAAGAUCUAGUCAAUCCUGUGAUCUGAUUUAGGCGGCCUCUUCCUCCAAUCUUUUACUACCAAAAACCUACUUGGUCACUUACUCCUUGGGUCCAAUACCUUUAGCUCUAAGCAUGCAGCACAGAGAUAGGUCUUUUUGAAUAGGUUGAGGAAAGGGAACGAUUGACCACAAAGGUGUGACCCUCGCCUCUAAUUGAUAGCCGAGCGAAGAAAAGAGUAUUUAGCCGCCUACCUAGACCAGGAUAUCCUGAUAUUAGGCGCUGUCCUGCAGAAGGCUCAAGAAAUAGAGAUAGCCAACUAUGCUAUGCUACGGGAUAAGGAUAAAUAUCACGCGUGUGCUAACGAUCUCGUCUUUGGCAAUGACUAUCUUCAGAGCGCACUAUUAUGAUGAGCAGGCGCGCAUCUAUAUACCAAGCGUUAACGCAGACAGCUUCAUUCGGGCUGGCUACUACGGUGGCCAUGCUGAUGUAUGUAUAUAUACCUUAUGGCAAGAAUUUGCUCUACUAUGACGUGAACUCGCUUUAGCCCUUUAUAAUGCAAUCCUGCGACUUCUGACUUGCCAGGCACCUUGACGGUUAUGCCAGUUUUAGGGGACCCUCUAGUAAGAAUAGUCUAAUAGACCUACUAUAGUCCAGUCCAACAUUCGAUUCUUUCUUUGCUAGCAGAACUUGAUAUUCCACUCUUGGCACCGCACUUCAAGCAUAAAAGCCCUACCUAGCUUUCAACCCAAGCUCAAAACCACCCUUGCUUUAGUUGGACCGGCAUACAUAUCUUAUCUCGUAAGAAACCGACGCCUAAACGCCUUGCCUUCACAAGCUCACUAACGGAAUAAGCCUUCAAAGUCCCUCUAAUAUGGAAUGGAUCUGGAUAGCUGGAGGUGGUUAUGGAUACCACGAUGGUUCUGCCUCGAGCUUUAGUUCAAGUUCAAAAUAUGCUUCACGAUUUGUUUUGUCCAUAGCAUAGGCAUAGCAUAGAAUGUGUGUGUGUAUGUGUAGGUAUAUACCAAUAGAAAGAAUUUCGCUUUGAGGAUAUUGCCGCCUAGGUGGAGAGACGGUACUGAGAUCUAGUUCAAUUGCUUAGAGAUAUCUUCCCGUGCUGGGAUGAGAUAGGUGCUUUCAAGUGAUUGACAUUCACGUAUCACCGAAUGAGGCCGCUUUUAGCCUCCUUACAUCCGAUUGGUCUUGAACUUGAUCAAUGCAAGCAAGAAAUAGUGCCGUACUUGAAAGUGCUUACAGCUAGUGAUGCUAGAGGAUCCAGGGAAUGGCCUUUCUUUCGUAUUCUACUCAGGAAGCUGGUCUGGCGUAUCGGAAAACAGACUUGGCUACUGGAUGCCUAUAUAGAUAAGGGAAUCCACUUGAUAGAAAUGAUUUGGUUAUCCAACCCGGCCCGCAUAUUGAAUGAUGAAGUCUUGGGAAGAAAAGAAAUAAUUCCACUCUCUACUCGGAUCUGGAGAUUGGCCUAAGCCCGGCGAAUGCAACCACUUCACCUGCCAGAGGACAAUAGACGCAGGCACUACACGACAGGUUCUUCCGAUUAUGCUUCCUUUUCGAGUAAUGCAACUAGCCCGAUCCCUGCAGGAGAUACAUACGAGAUUAAAAAAGAGACCACUCUCAACUAAGUUUAAGUCCAAGUCGGCUUCCGCUUCAAUUCUUUACUUUGACGCUAGGUCUAGGCCAAAUUCAUUCUUUGACUCUUGGCCCACAGCUGCUCUGCAGGAAUAUCUUUUUCCUGGUGGAUUCUGUGCUUGAAUCUCUUUUCCCGGAACUUCUGGAAUCUCAAUCCAAAGAGAAAGCUUCUACCGGAUACAAGUCAAGUUUCGUAACUAGAGUCGCAAAUUUCUCAUUUGUUACGAUUAAAAGAGGAGCUAUUGAUGAUGGCAAUCCAAUGAGUCUGAGUCACUACUGUGACGAAUAAAAGUUUUGUGGAGCUAUGCUCAUGCUUUCAUUUUUUUUAGAAUGGCACGACCUAAACGCCCCAGUAUAGUACGCCCUUAAUGAAAGACGGGAUGAGAUCUCUUCACUUGUGCUCGAGUUUCAUCGUAUCGUAGUCGUAGUAGGAAUAGGAAGCAAGGUUUCCGGGGAAAAGACAGAUUACUACCUGGCACUUGUAUUGUGUCUGCUCUACGAGCGCUUUGAACUGAACUAGUGAUCCGAUUCCGUGAUUUCGCCACUAGAAGAGAUCCACUCCCAUGAUGGAAUCGACUUCCUAAAGCGCUUGGUUGGCUAAAGGUGACGGUUGGUUGAAGCUUAGCUUGGGUUGCAGGAAAGAGAAUUAGUUAGGAUAGGAUAGCCCUUAUUUGGUCCAUCAAGCUAGGGCUAGGGAGUAAGCAAAAGUAGAUCGUAUGAGGGAACACUCCUUCCUCUUAUCUUAGAAGAACUUGUCGUAGCUGUGACUACUCGGCACUAUUUGAAUGGAAUGUCAGCGAAUCACUUGUUUCACUCAUGUAUGUGACUAGUCUUGACUGCUGGGUUUUUCUUUCUAUGGAGAACGCACGCUAGAGAUGCUUAGGAAAAGAGAAGGCUAGAGAUGCUUAGGAAAGGUUUGCUUACUGCAGUGCUUUGCUUCCGAAAUCUAGAGUUUAUGUGCCGAGGCGGGACCCACCUCUCCACUGAGAGGGAAAAGAUCUACUGGAAAUACUUCCUUUACGGGAUGCAUAUUCCAAUCAUGAACAUGAGGUACAGAACAGACAACAGGUACCAACCAAUACCGUACGCCCUGCGGAAGCUCUAUGCUAUGCCCAGAACCCAUUUGAUGACUCUGUUCUUCGUUCGCAGGUUUAAAAAGGUGUUGUUGGGACUAAACUAAACUUGCCGUAGUACUAGUACUAGUACUACCUGACAAUUCCCCUCGGGAGAGUAGAUUUCCCAUUCAAAAAGUGAUACUAACCAUGGGCUCAAGUAGUGAGUUACUCGGGUUUCCCCACAACAAGGAUGUGCACUCAGGGGCCAUAAAGCAAGCCUACGCUGCGAAGCUCCAUUUCCUCCGCUAUCGGGUACUUGCUUUUCCUUAGCUGGGUUGAGUUCUUGUCUCUAGUGGUGAGUCGCCAUGAUAUUGAUAUGACCCCUUGGAUCUUCGGUUCCGAUGUUAGUCCAGUGGCAGUUUGCCUAGUUUUUUGUGCCGGUCCCAGGCUCUUGCUCGAGUUUACGCCCUGCCGGGAAUUAAUCUUAGAAAAAAGGAAUUCACGGCCGGAGCAUUUAUAUAUGAAAAUAGGAGAACCAGUCAAGCUGAGAUCCAUUACCCAAGACUACUAAGAACCAGUCAAGCUUGCAUCCAUAAGACUAGUUUCACCCUUGCCUUUGAUUGACUUCAUUAUACGGGACAGGCCGAUUUCUUUCUUACUUUAGAGCUAUAUCGCGUUUUUCAUCCCUACGAAUUCAAUUCAAUUCUCACGAAAAGAUCUCUAACGUGCGUUCUAGGCUCUGUCGCGUAUAUAGAAACGGGCUUGUACAAGCUCACUAUUCUCGAUCAGGAUAAGAAAUGGCUGGCUAUCCCGAUCUACUACCUGCUUCAGAAGCUGGAAGCACCUUUGAAUCACCGGCUAGUAUCGUCUCACCUGCAGAAAAGAAAAUCGAGUUAUCUAUAAAUAUAUAUAAAAAGAGGACCGGAUCCUCCCCAAAUCCCACCCAUAAUUCCAUUCUUAUAGAUCUUUUUCUUACAUAGAAUUAGAUCCGAAUUGACAUAGAAUGAGGAAAGUCAGCCAGGUUCGGUAGUGAAGAAAAUCUCUUGUCUGUUCGCUAGCGUCUCUUUCUUCGAUGAAUUAGACUGGCACUCACUGAUCCCGACUUCUUCUACCUAUGAACUGAACCUCCACAAUGCUUCCUAAGCUCACAAACCAGCACAGCAAUGGGCCCGCAAACCAAUCAAAGUAGAUCGGCGUAUGAGGGAAGGGAUGCCGGAAGGAAGUCUUCAGAUAGUUCAUUCAGUCUCCUAUCUAGGACAAAUCGAGUUCUGGUUCUGAUCUGGCUCGUACACUACGUCAACUAAAGCAGUUGGGGCAUCGGUGAAUCAAAUCUCUUGUCUUCAAAUGGUUUUCUCUCCCGGGCUAGCUACCGAGCACUUUGAGUAAGUGAGUCUAGUGGCUCAUUUCUGGAUGAAUACCUUAACUGGUGGAUCUGUCUCCAGCUCUGAGGCUUAUGUGGGCGUAACCAUUUCUGUUUGUGAGCUUAGCUUUCCGUCGAGAUGCGUGAGAAUAGUUGACCAUUGCUUUUUCCUCUACCGGCACUAUUAUCGAUCAGGUUGUCUCUGUUUGCGGGUCUAAGGAAAGGAAGAAAAAGAUCCAAUAAGUUCGAUGGGUAUUGGUCAUAGGCUUGAAAGAGUGUUUCAUAGCUAAGGUAUCUUCCGGAUAUAUAUGUGCGAGAUCCAAUAGGGUCAUAACCCAGUGCUUUAGCGGACUCUGGUGCCAGAUCGUUUCUCAAAUCAUAGAGAAUUGAUAGAGCUAACCAUAUGAAAUGCAUCGAUUUCACUAUGCAUCAUUACCAAGGCCAUUGCCAGGGAAAGGCUGAACCAGAUCAAAUAGCAGCAAAUAAAAUAGUAGAUGAAGGUCUAAGAGAUGCCUACCCAAGCCUAGCUGAUAUGAUAAUAUCACCUGACAUCUAGACUAGUGCUUAGAAUGGCUAUGCCUACUGAUCUUGACUUAAUGCCUACUGAUCUUGACUUACCUACCUUGGCAUGCAAUAGUUUCGCCCACCAUUAGAUUAGUGGUAUAUUCUUCUAGAAAUAUGGAUUCCUAUAAGCCUAGAAGGAAGUAUGACUAGGACUCAUGUGUGCUUCUGCCUCUAUUAUUGUGGGCUGGAAAUCCAGAUGGUCAGAUGAAUGAAUCAAGUCCGGAUAGAUAGAUAGGAUCCCAACGAUUCCUGUCUACUUGCUAAAAUAGUUUUAGAUGGCCUACCCCCACAAGAGAUAUUCAAUCAAGCUGAAGGGAAAACCCCCUCAAGCAGAGUCAAAAGACACAGUGAAAGAAGCCCGCUAACCCACUCUUCUUUCCCCCCACCUACCCGGUAGGUAAGUAGGGGCCUCGUCAUCUCUAUUUUCCUUCCCAGGAAGACGGAGAAACUACACCUUAUUUUUACGAAUUAGAAAACGAAUGAGAUCAGAAAGGCCAUCAUUGGGGCAAACGAUGCAAUAGCUUCGGUGAGAGCAAAGCCCAAAAUGGCAUAACCGAAUGAUUGUUUAGCCAAUGAAGGAUUUCGCGCCACGGAAUGAAUCGAAGAACUGAGAACGUUUCCAAUACCGACAGCAGCUCCCGCUAAAGCAAUUGUAGCAGCUCCAGCACCUAUUGAUUUAGCUCCUUCUAACAUGUAGAGUUGAGAGUUGACAUUGUCGGGUUUCACGCUUUUCCUUCGCAACUAGAAAUUUCGAGUUCGAGUAUAGUAUAGUAUUUCUCGUUGAUUUGAUUCCUUCCUCCUCUCCUUAUCCUUAGUUGAACAGAUGAAAGCGAAAGGAGUUGCUUCAAUGAAACUGGAAAACCUAAAACCCACAUAGUGGAAUAAUAAACCCAGCCCUGCCCUUAUCUUGGGCUUGACAGGUAGACUAUAAAGAGAUUCAGUACAGCAAGCCUGCGCAGGAGUUCUAGCUAUUUCCAAUUUGAAUAAAUAACCCGAUCAUAUCAUAUCAUAUCUUGGAAAACCCUAAGACUACCCGAGGCUGUACCCUAUAGUAAUUUCCUUCUACCUCUUAUCUCUAUAGUCUUUACGUCGUCUCCUGGGUCGGUUAAGCUAUAACCUAGUAGUACCGGGAACAACUCCUCUAAGCAUCAAGUCAAUUAAGGAACCCGAUUUGUUGGGUUUUGAACUGUUAAAUGGUUACACGCCCGACAUACUGUGGGUGGCUAACCCGAUUCAUUCCUCGAAUCGUAAAUCAUUACUAUUUUUGCUUGCUCGAGUAGAGUCGAAAAGUGGGGAACCUGGAUUCCCAGCAGGUGAUCUCGAUCACCAUAAUAUGAUAUUUUGCAUUCCCUUAAUUUCUGAGAUGGAACUCUUUUCCAACAUAAAAUACAAGUCUAUCAGUUCAAUAAAAGUAUGGGUUAACCAUUCCUCCUCUUAAGUUAGGGGUUUGGGAUUAGUAGAGUAGUAUAACUACAGCUCUAGUAGUUAAAGGCGGGAGGGGUCCGACCCGACUAUUGGUUCUUUCCUCUAAAGAAACAUAGCUAAAAGGUGUCUGAUCUUGUCUAUAUUGUCCGAAGUAGCCUUUGCUUGUCAAAGUAAGUGAAAAAGGGUUUCAAAAUACUAUACUGUAGCUCAAGUAUGCAUGGAAUAGCACAGGGUUAUCCGCUUUAUUAUCUGGCUUAUCUGCUUGAGAAAAGUGAACUCUUAGCUUUAAACCUACUUUGUCUUUGUAUCUUAGCCCUUCUAGCUCUAGCUUAGGGGCCCUUUCCUAGCUUAUUCAACUCUUUCUUCGGCAGGAUCGAAUGAGGAUGAUGGGGGAUGCUUUUUUUCAACUAAACAGCGUUCAUCUGCUUGCUUUUCAUUUUAUGACGCUGAAUGUGAGAAGAAAAAUUGGAACUACUUGCUUGCCUGUGUUAAGCAUGUAGAUAGAACCUGGCGGGCAUAGAGUCAUAAUAAGCUUCUCUUCUCCGCUGCGCGCCUACUGUACCAAGCUAGCUAAAAUACCAAGCUCCUGUGGGCUAAUCUCAUUUCCCAUCUCAUGUAACAACCUCUUCGCCCUUUACCCAUGAGCUUUUAGAAUCUAUUUCCUAUUUCUAAGCCGAUUUUAGUUUUGAAAAUGCGCUGAGCAGAGUCAAUUUCUCGAUGGCACUUGCUAAAGAUCGUAUCAUAACUACCGGGCCUACAACACAAACGUCGACUACUUCAUUUCACUUCCCCCGGGAAUCGGCUACCAAAAAGGAAGGUUGCGAUAGUGUGUAAGCUGUAAUAUACAUAUUCUAGAUAGGCUGAAGACAGAAGGAUAGGCUUGCCGGGAACAAGAGCUUGCAUUCGUAUUUUGUUGUUGUGUUUGUGUUGUGAUCUAUUGGCUGCCUCGUUUCUGGUCAAUCUUUCCUGUGGCAGAUAAGGGCCGAUCUAAUAGAAUCGACUCUAAGAAGAUUGGAAGUGGUGAACCGGAUCUUUUUUCUAUAUAAAGGGAUCAAUCCUUUUGGCUCUAAUAGCAGUGAAUAGACUCCGUCUAGAUUUGGAGGAGUUGUCAAUAUGCCUCUGUCUGGUGCUGCUUCGCCGGUAUCGGCUUGUGCUAAUGUCAUAGAUCACCUACUAGGAGCUUAAGUCGACUAGACUUGACUCGAGAAUAGAAUCGAAGAGAAGCGAAGCCUCGCCAAGAUAAAUACAACCCUAUGGCUAUGGUAUGGCACUCACUGCAAUGACACGACCAGGUCUAUAGAAAAGUUGAUACAGAUCUCAUACAGGUAAGGUUCCGCACUUUUCUAAGUAACUACUAGCUCCGGAUGCAUCUUUCUCAUUGACUGCUUUCUUCAAAUCAAAGUAGGACGAACAAGGAAAUGGAACUGGUCAAUGCAUUUCUAACUAACAAUUGACCCUAUUCCUCGAAUGGCGCGUAGAGUGGAGUAUUGACUUGCCUUGAAAGGAUUGGUUCCCAUCUUUUUCUAACCUCGGGCAAUAGCUGCUUCCCGGCACUUCUUAACCCAUUCCCCCUUGCUGACUUCUACCGUUGCACUCUCCUUUUGGCACCUAAUCUAGGUUUUUUUAUGACAUUGAUCUCAAACCGCCACAUAUUGAUAGAAUUGUUCAACAAGUGCCGCUUCUGAAUUUGUCUCAAAUUACCGGAACAGAAUGUCAAAGCCAGUAGUUUGAACUGCCAGUGGAGUGCCGUUGUUUCGAAGUUGUUGACUAUUGUCCAGCUAUCAAAUUAGUGUAGACAGAAGCACUGUUUGAGCCUUGUCGAGAAUCCGUUCUGGCACUUAUUGUCUAUAGCAAAGUGAAGGAAUAGAAUGAUCAUCCUGCUCCUAUUUAAACAGAAUUCCAUGGAAAGUGUAGCAAGCCGAUUCAAUUGACCAGCUCCAUAGGGAGGAAAUGGUAUUCCAAAGAGCAAAACAAAGCCAGUUGGUUAUCGGCAGACAGAAAGCAUUUAUAUGUCUCUUUGUAGGCUCAAAUGAACACAAAGCCUAAGAGUUUUAACCGGUUAGCAAAUAUGACUAAUGGACUCCACCUUCUUCUAUCUCCGGGUCAAGUCAAAGAGUUUCAGUUCUAUACAGCACUGACUUCGGUGCCCGCUUACUACCCAUAAGACCUUAGAAAUGACUAGCAGGAGAGCAGUCACGGAAAGAAAGAUUCUGCCUAUUGAGAGAAAGCAAGAUCAGGGAAGUCUUAGUCACUAACACACCAUAGUACUAGUCAAGUCACAAGCAAAGCAUCAAGUCCCAAGCAGUGCCAGGUUGAAGAAAGAAGACUCUAUAAAAAAGCAAGUGAGCUCUGGCACCCAGAUAUUAAGAAGUUAGGAUGCGCCUAACUAAAACUAUUUAGAAAGGCUAGUGAGCAAGUGCCACGGAUCCGCGUGUACGGAACGGAUCCAGAGUUAGGAUGCAGCAAGAAAACGGCUGCGCUUCAGCGCAACGGAUCUAGCAAGUUAGGAUGCGCGUGACUAACGCGCAAAGGCUUUCGCGCUAGAAAUAGAAAAAAGAGCGCUAGAAAGAAAUAAAAUCCGUUGCUUUACUUUAAAGUAAAGUUACGAACAAAGGCUUCACUCUUUCCGUUCUGAGGCUAAAAAGGCCAAACGAGCCUACUCACAUCCAUUUAGGAAUUUUGGAAUUAUAUGACUCUGGGGUCAGUCCAGCAGCUAUAGGUGUACGCAGACAAGAAGAGAGCUUUCCUAUUUAAUAAAUACUCUCCUCGCCAAUCCGAUCUCCAGAACUUGACCCUUUUCCCUGCGCGCCUCUUCUUACUUUUCACUAAAGAAUGAACAAUCGGCGCAGGAGGUAGGAGAUCCAAGUCCAGAAAACAGACGUAAUUACAAUACUAAACUAAUGAUGAUCAAAACUUUCUAAAUAGAGUCAGAACUCCCCCUUCCUUGGUUUGGUAGAAUUCACACCUAGAAGAAGUAGCCCUGCCGCGGCCUUUUACUCUCUCCACAUUCGGGCUGGAUAAAGAAAAAUGAGAAGGUUGUCCAGAAUAUCAACGAAUAAACAGGGAAGGCGUUUUUCAAGCAUCUCAUGCUCCAAAUGAGAAGAUGCAGCGAGGCACUCUUUCUAGAUGAUUCAGUUAUAGUUGUUUGAUCAUAGACUCAAAUAAGAUAAUGAAAAUAUUAAGCAGAAGUGUUCUCAUCUCAAGCAUCUGAUUCCGGUGAUUCGCAAAUAGCUUGUCAUAGCUAGUUCUUACCUGAAUCGCAGUAGGUUAUUUGCUGCUGACAAAGGCCGCUAAGGUUCCACUCGAGAGGAUUUCUAUUCCCCUCACCGCUGCGCGCCUUGAAGAUCAUAUAAGUGAGUGCUCAAUUGUUAUACUGCUAUGGGAAGAAGCGGAAGAUGAAUCGGAACAGCAGGAAGCCGCUACCUAGAACGGCGCAUACUCUUGACCGCUAACCCUCAAUCAAACGUUGAUAGUUGUGCUUUCCCUACUCGACUUUUGGGUACAUAACCUAAUCAAUCCCUUCCUUUCGGUUUCCCUGGACUAUCGAUCUAGAGACGGCACCUUUAGACCAGACCUGGAGACAUCACAAAAAGAGUUCUGAGGAUGACUGGCUGGAUAGCGAGCACCUGACCUUGGGUUGACUUGCCUAGAACCUGACCAGGCACCGGCACUGAAUUCUACUUGAAAUACCAGGCUCUUCUCUUAGAUAGGAAUCAUAUACUUUUAAGCCAUAGGAAUCAUAUACGAAGAACACAUAUGGCCUAGACUCAUGAGCCAAUAAUCUAAUCAAUAGUUCGGUACGCGCGCUCAAGACGAACAUCACCACGCUGGGCCCCUUCCCACUUCCCCUCGGAUUUGCCUAUCAUGUCGGAAUGGAAUUCUUUCCAUUAAAGAAAGUAGAAUAAAUAUACGAAAAGAAAUACACAACCCUGAAAUCAAUAGGAUUUCAUAAAUACCAAUAGGCGCUAUGAAGGGAAGGCGCGGGAUCGCACACCGGAAGCAAAGCUGCCGUAAUAGUAGAACCUCAAAAAGAGACCAACAGUUGAGACAUAUGGACAUGGAAGUCUCGCAAUCUAUGCCCUCCCUCGAGGAAACGCCCCAUUCAUCCCUGGAGUCCGUACUCCGUACUCUGUACUAUCCCUUAACUUUCCUCCAGUAGCCAGUCUAAGAAUAAGUCCAAUCUUACAAGUGUGCUGUUCAAUGCACCACUUUCAGAUAUUCUGAGGACUCUUAAGGACAAGUCGUCCUAUUUAAAGAAACCAGAGCCAGGGAUGGAACACCAAAUCAGUGAACCAAAGCGCAUUCUAUUCUAACUCCGGCACAAAAGAUAGUCUGCUAAUCAAAAUCGUCUUCUGUCCUGGAUGCCUUAUUGUUCAUUGUAAUUUCGGCAGCAAGCGGCGAAAUUAAUUGGAAGCAGGCUAUGUGACUAGAAAGUAAAAGAGGCACGGGAAAGCCUUCACAGAUCGGAGUGCUUAACUGGAAAAUACUUUCUCUAUUAUACCGGCUACUCAUUUCUCUUUUUAUCGAACGCGGCUAAUAAUAUCAUAAUUAGCAUAACAACCAUUGCAAAGAGUGAUUCAACUUUGUGUUUUGCAUUGAGGAGAAAUAGAAAAGAAAGACAACCUCGGUUCGUGCUCGUGCGUAUCAGCUUUCUUGGCUGUUCAAAGUGCAUAUUUAAAAGGUAAUCUGCUUCUCGUUGACAAAUCGAAAGAGGCCCUCACAGUAAUCUGCCAUAAAAGAUUGAAAUUACUUAUUUGAACUACGUUGGCAGGCCUAAAGCUGUGUUCCACUCAUAUCAUCCUCCAGGUCUAGUAGCUUGGAAGGGUUCAGCUCUUCUUUUAUUCAAGAGGUACACCUCUUUUCUAACAGGGCCCUACCUUGAAUGCGCAGAGCAGCAAAGUUCCUUUUAGAGACGUUAAGCACAGAGCAGUUAGGGAAAUCUAGCCAAGGUAGUGGUAACCAUACUCGGAUGGUGGGCAACUGUAUUCUUCCUCGAAGAACUAAAGAUUCUAUUCUGCUUUGGCUUCCUCAAAUCUGCCGCUAUAGAAAGAAGGUGGCCCGGUUCCUUCGAACUGUAGAUUAUGCUCCUGAAGUGACUAGUCUAGUGCCGCUCUUUGAAAUUAAUAGACCAUAGCAGGUUAGAGCAGAGUCAUUAGCAUUUAAUGAAUGAGCCUAUGUCAACACGAUCUCAGUAAAGAUCAAAAGGUGCUGCGACAGCCGUACUUGUCUUUUUAUUGUCGUGCACAAGCGCCUCUUCUCUCUUAUGGUUGGGUCGGAGCCAGAGGUUUCCCCAUUUGUUGAUCCUGUUGCAAGUCAAGAUUGCGUUGGGUAGGCCAGAGCGGCAGGGCUUAUCUUGUUUUUUAUUGCUUUUGUUGUUUGGCAGAUGCAGAAACAGAUAAGCGGAUUUCAUCUCAUGAAUCUCCUCUCCAUAGACAAGUCGAUUUCACUUUCACUUUCACAGAGGGCGGAAGGGAGAGGUUGGCUUUUAUUGUGAUGGCCAGUAAAAGAUUCUCCGCGUUCUUUGAUUUGGUGUGACAGAUCAAAGUCAAGUCAACAAGCAUUUGGGUGCUUUUGGCCAAGGAGGGAGAGCCCAAUUGAAUCACUGACUUCAACGCUAGCCCCUUCCCUUAGUCAAGUGACCCAAUAAAGGAGUGAGUGAGAGCAGCUACAAGCUAGGGUAGGCAGGUUGUCCGACAAAUGGCUUUCCUAUCACUGAAAUUCUAUUUUAAGAAAGGAAAGAAGAAUGCGGUAGGCAGACACUUUUCAAAGCAGGAACCAACGGAGUGGAGUAAAGAAAAGCACGGCGGAUUCGGCCCCAAAAGAUAGACAAAUAGCAAAGAUCACCAACACAAAUUACACAUAAGUCUUUUUAGAUUCUAGAAAAUAUGACUUCUUCACUUCACUUCGACGAAAGAUGGAGCCAUUAAAAAUACUCAAAACCAACUAGCAUGAAAAUCCAACUAUUAUCUAACUCAGUAACUACUAGGUAAGCUCCCUCAGUAAACAGGUCUCAGCUGAUAAGUGUAGUAUCCCUCCAUCAUACGGAGUACUAGGCGGCGGUGCUGAGACAGAUGUUACCAAAUUCCCCAAACUCCAAGUGCAUGCCAAUUUGAUCUACGUGGCGCCGACCGACGCAGAACCAUACCUUGGCUUGGCCCUUUGCAAUAUGUAUAUUCCCCGAGGAAGGAAGGCUUGACAUGAAUACAGCUUAGUAGCUAUCCAUUCUUUCACACUCCGACGGCACACGCCAUAAUCUUUCAUCAGAAGGAGCUUCAUCAUCAUAUCAUAUGGUAAGGGGCAUACGGCGAAUUUGUAGAGGGACGGGUAAGGCAGUUCUGUGUUGAAAAUUUGCAUAUCUCCAUGAUCAGGAUCUCUGGCCAAAGGAUAAUCACAAAUCACCAGCUGAUAAGCAAGCAAAUAGAGUUGUCUCUUUCGAGUCAGCAUCCUAGUCUCCAUUUCAGAUUGUAACAGAACUGGUUGGUCUCUGGCACUUUGUGAGUGGAGGUCCUCCGAAACAGGAAUAGACUGGCACUAGGCGGAAGAGGAAGAGAAACAGAAGCGGAGACUACCUAAUCUAAUAAGUGUCUGGUUUCAUCGAAUAGGGAUGCUCGCUUAAGUCUACUUGUACUUGAAUUCCGCAUAGCCCGUUCUGCUAAGAAAUAUGAGCUGUUGUUCUUAUAUGAGCUGUUGCUCUUAAAAUCAUUCCUUAUGAGCUAUGGCAAGUGAGCUGAGUCUAGUUUACUCGCCUUCUCCAUCACUAGAUGAGUGGGCAGUGCCGGACUCGAGGGAUGGGAUUCCCGACCGAAUUGGAAGCAUAAAAGCGCCAUUCCGAGAUUGAUAGAUAUAUCAAUCUAAAUAGGAAUUGGAAUAGGAGAAGAGCUAAUUGGGAUUGGAGAAGAAGUUCCUUUGGAAUGGAAUUGUAGAACAAGUAGACAGGAUUUCUACGAAACAGGAUAAUCCGUUGAUUGGGAACAAGUCCGGAUUGGAUUCCUGCGUCACGGAUCAGUAGCAGCAAGUAGAUCAAAGCUAGUUCGGUAACAUAAGCUCGGGAACAGGACUAUUUGCCGGGGGAUGAUCACUUGGUUCCGUAGGUUUCUUGAUCUCAUAUCUAUGGGCCAGUCCGAUCCGAAAGGAGGAAUGAUGGUAGAUACCCACUAGAUAGCCGUCUUCCACUGCCUCGAGUCCAAUCUCUCUCUAUUGGCUGGCCAGAGGUGUCCAACACCUUCAGUACCGUUCUUUGGACGAGAGAAGCCUUAUCCUUCAUACUUUCUGGACGUGUUGGUUUCCAAUCUGACAUUUUAUCAGAAGGUUCUGCCAAUUUAUCCCUACUGUAGUUUUGUGUCGCUUGCUCUUGUUUGCUGCUGACCUCUAUUUUCUUUCCCUCGAUUAAGAGGCUAAAUGAACUGGGUGCUCGAAAGUUUGUUGUGUCCGACGUCGCUCGGUUGUAUACCGUACGUUCGUGCUCUGGAGUUCAUGCCUACAGGGGAGUGUUCAGCAUCCGCGAAUCGAGUCACUGAAGGUUACAACAAGAAAUUGAAGAGGAUGGUCGAAAAGAUGAACCAGGAGAUGGGUCCAGAGAGCAAAUUUGUGUACGUAAAUACGAAGGAGUUUGGCAGCGCCGAAGCAGAGGAAGGAACCCGAAGCAAUGGAAAGAACGACGACCUAGGAGGUAGUAGUAGUACGAAGCCGGAAGGUGGUUUGAUUCAGAAGUUGAGUGAGGAGGCUUCGACCGUCGCCACAAAGAUUCUUAUGAGGCAUGCUUCUGACGGGCUGCCACGCGGGAGGUACUGGAAGACUUUUCAAAGGGCUAAGUAUAGGCACCGGGAAAGAGUGGGGGGUUGAAGUGGAGUUGCCACGACGAUUUCUGGUAAGUCGAUUGCGGAGGAACUGAGAGGGAGAAGGCCGGGCUUCCCAGAUUGUGCAAAUUAGCCAUUCCACUUCGGGGCCGUGUGCACAUAGCAUGGAGGCGAUGCCUUAUGCCGUGGCGUCAAUUCUAGCUUCUGAUGCGGGAGCUUCUAGCUGUUCGCUUUUAAAUUGGCACUUUGAGUUGAGGGCGGAGCGUGAAUUAAGUAAAGGCUUAUUUGUUCCUGAAUGUUUCAUUUUUAUUAACCAAAACCAACAUUUAUCAUACUUGCAACUAAGACCUCGAAUGUUUGGAAAAGACGAUGUCGACAAAGCGGAGUUUUUUAAUGAAAUAAAAGACAUUUGCAAGUGCUGGCUUACACCCGGGGAAUUGUCAGUAAAUAAGGCGCCAGGAGGUUGUGCAAGCACUAGAAAUGACGAGCAUGGAGAGGUCAAUCUUGGUAGUCAGGUCUGGUAGAGCAAUCUCAAAUUAUCAUAUAGAAAUGUUAUGAUUUCGGUAUUGAUCAAAAGGUGCUGGGACCUUAGGGGAUACAUUAGUGCCAUGUUCUAUUGCGGAACGGUCGUAUCCUGGUAACCUAGCCCCCGUAAGAGCUCUACCUAAUCGUCGACAUAAUGGGUAGAAGGCAGGCUGUGCUUAUUUCUCGGCAAAUAGCUGAGUCGACACCUCGAGGUGCCAACUCAGCUCUUCGUAGAUAAAAACAAGUGUUCAGUGGAUCAAACCCUGUAUUAAUGGUUCUGGCAGGCUGCUGGCGUGGGACUUCUUUCGCUAGAAACACUACAACAAUAGAAGCACCCUUCUAGAGAUAAGAAUAGCAAAUGUUUUGAGGCACUGAUGGAAGCAUGCCAAGGUGAAGUUGACGAUCUCUUUAGCGUUUAUCCUUCUCUUUAUCUUGCCCUGUGUGCUCAUGCUGUGAGUGCCGCAGGAUGGUUUAGUUCUGAUCGAGUGCUUGACCCCUUGAGGAGGGCAUAUUCUUCAGCAUCUCUCUUGUCGGAUCGUAUCCCCGUGACCACGUCGUUAAAGAGACAGUCUUUCUUUGGCCUGGCCCACCGACGUCGUUGGUGACACUCUUCUGAGCCCCUAGAUUCGCCGAAGGAUGAGAUCUUGCCUAUGCUGUAGUGUAGGAUGAACAGGAAAGUUCUCCUCCAUUGAGACCCGGAAAACUACUACUUUUUCUUAUUGAAAAAAAGAGCUUUGUUAUCUUACUUGCUGGCUAGUAAACGCUACCCCUACCCUUGAAAACUUGUUUACUUUUGAGGUGAGGGCCGGAGUUUACUUAAAUUCAAGAGGGACUUAAAGGAUUUCUAACUUCACUGUCCUGCUUACUCAUUGGAUGAAUUGACAGAGUCUCUUGCCCUUUACCUUGGAUAUACACAAGAUUGCUCAUUCGCUGUAACCACUAGUUCUAGAACUGAAUAGGAAAAGCUAUAUGGCACUCAAACAGAAUGGAUAGCAACUGAAACUCCAAGAGGUAGUAUACUAAUAUACUUUUUUUCCUAAAAACCUAAGAUGCCUAUUGGUCUAAGCUUUAUAUCUAUCCUAUCGCUCUCUUGCUUAAAUUCACUUCCUUCCUUAACUCAGAUCUAAAUGGCUUCCUUUGGAUCGACAUGCGUAGAAAGAGGUAAAAGCACGGGCAUGGAAAAGGGAUUAUAUGGCGUGCUGGGCUGGAUGAAAGAAGCAACUACGCCUACAAUGAGAAUAGCGGGACUCCCACUAGCUGACAGAGAACUCCCAGCCAAAAUGAAACUGGACUUCCAGCAAUAGCAGCAAUGUCACUAGAACCUUUCAUACUGGAGAAUAACUAGAAGUUUAUGGGGAAUACAACCCUUAAGGUUUGGCUAUGAUUCUAAAUCAACCAUGCUUACUAAACAACUCAAUCAUGCACUCGUAAUGCUCCAUUCGAGGCGUAAUACCAGAAUCUUCACUCAUCGAGAACAAGUAUCUUUGACCUAGAUUAACAUAUCCUUCACAAAUACAAGCUAGCAAGGCAUCUGGAUAACUUACAAGAUAAGUUUAUGCGUGCCACCUAUCAUUUGAUACUGCCUGAUCAAGUCUUUGGAUCAAGUAUGUUUAGAAAAAGGAAUAUGCACAGGAAAUCAAGCAAGAGGAUGCGGACAGUAACGAUCGCGUAAAGGAGGGCCCGCUUACUAAUACGGAGAGGGUUCCGCAUGAAAAAGACAAUCCUAAACUUCUUCGUUUCGUUGGUUUUUCCAAGGUCUUUUAAAUUAUCUUUUUUUUGAACAUGAACGGAAGUAGCGUAGGACACCCAAUCCUCGGUCAAACCUCUACUUCAAUGAACCACGUCGCGUUCUUUAUCUUUCUCACUCGUCGUUUCGUUGGAAAAACCCACGCCCAAUAUCAUAUUGACUCUCUCUCGUCCAAUAAGAGUUUCCGAGAGUUACUUUAUUCAAAUUCUCUCCUUUCCAAAGCUCCACAAGGCUGACAAAAAGAGUAAUAGGACAACAAGCAAUCUUGCUUUCAUUUAUUUUGAGUUCUUUCUUUGUUGAGAUGGAAAUCGACGUUCUUUUGAAAAGGGCUAGGUAGUUUGCACGCAGGCUUCUUCAUGAAAGGUCAAAAAUAGACUUUGAUUUCAUCAUCAAAAAUGACUAGUCGUUCGUUUGAAGCCUUAAGAAACCAAAGCGGCAGUUUUUUUUUCCGAAUGACCUGAUUUCGAGAAUCAACUAACCAACAAAUCCGUAGCCCAGGUGAUUCGCUGCCUCCCUCUCGCCAAACCAAAAUGGGAUGAAUCUUCUCAUGCAGCUUUUUUCUUAUUCAGGGCGCUGCGAAGCAUCAAGGCAAGGGGGUAAAUAAAAUAAGGGGGAAGAGGAGUUGUCACGAUAGAAAAGAGAAAUGACUAUAAGGAACCAACGAUUCUCUCUUCUUAAACAACCUAUAUACUCCACACUUAACCAGCAUUUAAUAGAUUAUCCAACCCCGAGCAAUCUUAGUUAUUGGUGGGGGUUCGGUUCGUUAGCUGGUAUUUGUUUAGUCAUUCAGAUAGUGACUGGCGUUUUUUUAGCUAUGCAUUACACACCUCAUGUGGAUCUAGCUUUCAACAGCGUAGAACACAUUAUGAGAGAUGUUGAAGGGGGCUGGUUGCUCCGUUAUAUGCAUGCUAAUGGGGCAAGUAUGUUUCUCAUUGUGGUUCACCUUCAUAUUUUUCGUGGUCUAUAUCAUGCGAGUUAUAGCAGUCCUAGGGAAUUUGUUUGGUGUCUCGGAGUUGUCAUAUUCCUAUUAAUGAUUGUGACAGCUUUUAUAGGAUACGUACCACCUUGGGGUCAGAUGAGCUUUUGGGGAGCAACAGUAAUUACAAGCUUAGCUAGCGCCAUACCAGUAGUAGGAGAUACCAUAGUGACUUGGCUUUGGGGUGGUUUCUCCGUGGACAAUGCCACCUUAAAUCGUUUUUUUAGUCUCCAUCAUUUACUCCCCCUUAUUUUAGCAGGCGCCAGUCUUCUUCAUCUGGCUGCAUUGCAUCAAUAUGGAUCAAAUAAUCCAUUGGGUGUACAUUCUGAGAUGGAUAAAAUUGCUUCUUACCCUUAUUUUUAUGUAAAGGAUCUUGUAGGUCGGGUAGCUUCUGCUAUCUUUUUUUCCAUUUGGAUUUUUUUUGCUCCAAAUGUUUUGGGGCAUCCCGACAAUUAUAUACCUGCUAAUCCGAUGCCCACCCCGCCUCAUAUUGUGCCGGAAUGGUAUUUCCUACCGAUCCAUGCCAUUCUUCGCAGUAUACCUGACAAAGCGGGGGGUGUAGCCGCAAUAGCACCAGUUUUUAUAUCUCUCUUGGCUUUACCUUUUUUUAAAGAAAUGUAUGUGCGUAGUUCAAGUUUUCGACCGAUUCACCAAGGAAUAUUUUGGUUGCUUUUGGCGGAUUGCUUACUACUAGGUUGGAUCGGAUGUCAACCUGUGGAGGCACCAUUUGUUACUAUUGGACAAAUUUCUUCUUUCUUUUUCUUCUUGUUCUUUGCCAUAACGCCCAUUCCGGGACGAGUUGGAAGAGGAAUUCCAAAAUAUUACACGGAAUAGACUCAUCGCACCGGAUCAGUCUCUUAGACGGAUGAGACUGAUCACACCUGAUCAGUGAUCAAUUCUGGCACAAUGAAUUUACGAGUUAUUUUACACAAUGAAUUUACAAGCAGAUGAGGUAGACCUAUCUCCUGAAAAGAGUUCAGUAAACAAGGGAACGAAGCGACCGAUAACGUCCCCUCGGGGAGGAGAAGGGAUUGACUUCGGCUCCUAUUAUCUUUGUUUACCAAUCUUCAAAUUGGUGAAUUGGUUAAUAGGAAGUGCGCGCUAGCACGCUUCAUAUUUCUAGUAACAAGGGCCGGGCCGGGCCGUUGCUUGCUUGUUUGGUCGUUAGAUCAGAGGGCGCUCAUCCCUUGCUCGGUCCCUGAAAAUGAGAUAACAUAGGCUUUUGAUAUCUGCUCUGUCAACAAGCCCUGGUUCAAUCCCUGCUUCUUCCAGGCCUUAUCCCGAAAGAGGUAAACAAUUCUUUUUUGUCAUUUUGUUCACUGGUCUUCACUUCAAGCAAUUCCAUUAGUCCAAGUCUGCUGCAAUUGGUAAUAGGGGAUAAGCAAUUGGUGGUCGUAGGCUCACUCACCUCUAGCUCUUUUUCUUUGCGAUGACCCCGUCCUUGUAUCCGUCCUCUAGCAUCUAUCUUCUCCUGUAUUGUAUGUAGCAGCAGUGGCAUUCGACUUUGAAGUACCAGGAAAGGCAGAUAAGUUUAGCCUCAAUAGAAAUAUCUUUAUAGCCUGAAGUUGGCUUACUUAAUUCCUUUGAGCUUCCCCCACUAUUUAGUUCGUUUUCCGGUAAGCUAAUAUGGGCGCAGGUCUAGUUAACGUUCAAGCAGAAUAGAAUCCCCAUCAGACUCUCGUUUGUUGGUUGGGAUGGGUGGGAUCUUAGGAGAGAAAGGAAAGCCCUGAAACAAAGUGAGCCUACGGGAGGGUGUAAAAAUGCCUCAAAGCCUGUGAAGCAAGUUCUAAAGAAAGUUUGAAAGCUCACUGCGGAAAGGGUUUUGACCAGCUAGUCAGAUUGCCCCAUUACGGGUGUGUUACGCCAGAAAGUUCCUCAAUCCUGUGCCUGUUCCCGAGCGAGUCAGUCCCAUUUCGAUGACGAACGACACGAUCCUCCAUAGAGCUUCCCAUUUUACAUUUCUCCAUCGCGAGAGAUUCUCUCCAGCCACAGGUUCCCCAGUGGUACGUCCGGGGUCGGUUCAAUCAGUGCGCUAUCAGUCCAGUACCAUUAGCUCUCCAAGGGUAGCAAUCCAUUCUUUCCGGGCAAGCCAGUUCAGUUCCUUUCUGGUAACAAGAGAUCCCAUAUCAGAUUAAGUAAAGGGAUUACCUAGCUAGCGCAUAUCGAAGAGUUGGAGACUUCCUGCCACUAUAGAAAAAAGCCGUUGAUGGAUCAAUUUCUGUAGGUGGGUCUCAACUCGGAUCGAGACAUUCGGAUUUGCCGAUGAAGAGUACUGCCUUGGAGGGGUAGGGGUUGUAGGGGAAGAACCAACCUUUUCGGGUUACGGGAAGUCCUAUCGAUUAAAGCAAGAAGAAAAAAGUAAAAACAACAACCUACCGACCCAGCGCAGUGCCUAUGAAGAAUAGUGAAUGUAGACCGGAUAGGAAUAGGACUCUUUAGGCGGAGUGGCUUUCUUGGAGGCCUGUCUUCUUCGAAACUCGAAAUUCGUUUUUUCAAAAGAAACAGGGCUAUAGCCUUUUUAAGGCCAAUUGACAUUGACUUUUGUUUUGAUAGUUCCAGUUGCUUACGAAGAUCCAAGUCCAGCUACUUACGAAGAAGGGCAGACAGACUACGCCACUCCCAUCCCUGCGGACAGACUAACUAAGCGUGGUAGUCGAGUGAACGGGCUAUCAAAAAGCUCUCGUUUUGUCCUGGCAAGAUAGUCAAGUAAUAAAAUAGACCAUAAGCCAUCCUUUAUCUUGUAGCCUGUCUAAGAAAGUAACAAUAAAUAGCUCAUAGUUUCCUUGCUACUGCCCUAAGAGUUGUUCUUCUAUCAUCAGCGAGAGUUUACUUUGCUGUCGAUGCAGGCCAGGCAAUAAUAGAUAGAUUUCUGUACAUAGUUGGGAUAAAUAAAUAAUAAAUGGAUUCCUCCCCUCUUUUUAGCCUUAUCCGCUCUUGAAUGUUGGUAUCGAUUUGAUCAUGCCGGAAUAAGAGCUAGGUAAUGGAUCUUCUCCAGAUAGAAGUAAAGGUUACGUGGGAAAUAAAGGAAUCAGUAGCAGUCGCUGGAAAAAAAGUAGGUAAAGCAAGCAAGGAGGGAAUCCAGCUUAUUGGCCAUUCUCCAGCGACUCUCAGAACGGUUGUCGGGCCUUUGCACUGGUCAACAAAGCCACAGGCCAAGCCAUCAAGCAUGGCGUAGGGUAUUGGAUAGGCUGGUCCGCUGGUCGAAGUCAUUGCAGGGUGUGCUACAGACAGCUAUUGUUCAAGGUCAUUUCCUUUCUCUCGUCAUCACGCCAACAUACACAAGGCUUGCCUUCACAGGGCCCCACCUUGACUUGCCAUCAUGGCUACACUCUUUUCAUCAAAGCAACUCUUCUUAUCUUAAGAAGACCCCUAUCGCUUCUUCUUUGAUCAAUAAGCACUGGACUUUCCGCCUUGAUCGUAGUAGUAUAGUAUGCUGAAGCAGCUCAAGAUAAAAGCCCUGUUUAGCCAUGGUCAGAUUUCGGUAGACUAACUUGGACACGGGAUUAGGAAAUUCCACCCUUUUCCACCGGCUCCAGGACAAGAGGGUACCGACGAGUAUCGGCGACCCUGCACGAGAAUAGAACCAAUACCAAUAGUUUUGCUUAUUUGAAUUCUUCCAUUAUCUAUCAAAAUAGGAAAUCUAAAUAGAUACGCGAAGUGGUGCCCUUGCUUCUGGAUUCAAAUCCAUAGGGGUAGGCAGGAGGGGAGCGAAAAGAUAGAUACGUUAAUGUUUCCACCUACUCUCGAGUAUAGCACAGGGCUGAGUUAAGUAUAGUAUAGGGAUGAUCCACUCGUCGUAAGAUCCUGAUGGGCCAUCACAUCCCUUGAUGAGUAGAUCAUUCGUGUCUUACUGGUCAAAGGUAAGUAAGAACCUCUUGAUAUCGGGAAGUGCAAAUAAAUAAUAGGUCAGUCUUGCUGUCUCAAAUAGGGAUUGAGUGCCUGUGGAGAAGAGAUGGGUUGGUUUGAUUGAGGAAAGAAUAGGAAAAGAAGGAAGAAGGAUAGCAUAUUGACCGUGCUCUGCGAAGUUCGGUGGAAGUCAGCUGGAAUCGUACCCAGCAAGGUUCUAUUAAUUGGUAAACUACUUAGUAGCCGUAGCCAACCCCUGAUUAUAGGCAAGCCCUGCUCUUGUAUAUCGAUAAAGAAAGGGAGAGUUUACUGACGGCACAUUUGCGUCCAGCGGAAUCGAUCAUCGUUCCCCCACGACCAAGACCCAAUUCAAUAUCUUAAUAGGAAGAAUGUCUUGAUCCGCCUCGUAUAUCUAUCAUUUGUGUUGAUCUGGAAUCGAGAUUGGAAUGCCUUGCUCUGCCUAAUCGUGAAUAGUAUAUGCCUCAUCCCGCUAGCCAGAUCUCUACCGUCUUAUUGAUCGAAAGCUAGGGAUACUUAUUUAUUUUCUUGAUGAUUGAAAAGCUAGUUUGAAUUCGUUGAUCUGCCGAUACCGGGCCCCAUUUCACUGGCCAGCGAGCUUGUGUAUUACUUUGCAAAUGAAGCGUAUCUCUUUGAUUUACUUCUGUUGAUGUCUCGAACCGCUUAGCGGUUAGUUUUAGUUAAGGAUAGCAAUGCUAUUGUCCAUUCCGUCUAGCCGCUAUUGUCCAAUUAUAGUACAGUGUCAGUUAGGACGGGCCUGCCCCUGCUUGCUUCCUCGAGAGUGAGAGAAGGAAGUCCUAGAGAGGGGCACUAUUUCUUCCGAGAAGUGCAAGAUGGGGAAUAACCUAUUGUAUUGAUAUCGCUGAGUCAAGAUAGAAAGGAGCCUUAUUUCUAUCAGCUAGUGCAAGCUAGGUUGUUUGUUUUGGGCACAAAGCCUUGCUCUCCCCAAUCAAGGUAUAAUAGUUGGGCGGCUAGUGCUGCAAGCAAGCAAUCAGCAUUUCGUUCACUUACACUUACACUUAGUGAAUAUAGAACUGUGAUCGGUGACGCUAAGUCAGCUAGUUAUUGUCUCUUCUCCCUAUUUAUUUUAUUAAAGACCCUAAGGAAGUGAAGGAUCGCGGACCACCUAUUUUUCAUCAAAGCCCCUUACCCUUGCUUCUUUCCCUUUAAACUCUUUGGUACACGCUUUAUCGAGACUAGGAUUUCUGUCUUACGCCGGGUGAAACCUAUACUCUUUGACCUACCCCAACAAGCAUUUUAGGCGAAUUCUUUUCCUUUCUACUCAAGGAAAUUGACAGCUAGGAUCCUAUCCUAUCCUAUCCUAUUUGAUCGAUCGCUCAGCCUCUGUAGUCCACUCUUUCAAUAUAGGAAAGGAAGUAGAGAAAAGGAUGCAAGCCCAAAGUCUAGGAAAAGCAUCUCAUUUCCUGGCAAAAAAGCAAUCCACUGUGUCGAGGAAGGGAAGAAAGGCUCUGCUUUUGGUAUUUAUUUAUCAAAGAAAGACACAUUUAAGCGAGCGUGGCAAGGGACUAAGUUUUUGUUGUCGCGGGCGCUAAAAAGCAUUGGCGGAUGCGCAUAUUUAUUUGUUUCGUUUGUUUACAAGUAGGAAUUCAAAGAUAGCUAUUUUAGAGAAAGACCGGAAUAGGCAGUCACAGAUGUAAGUAGAAGUUUUAGAAGCAGGUAAGGUUUAUGCACGACGAGAUAUGCUAGCUAGAGCUACUUGGUAUUGGUAGUAGAAGAGGAAUAGCUUGUGCUUUUCGCGGGAUAGCUUCUAAGUAUAGACAUUCACAGUAGGCACGAAUGGGAUAGUUUGAGUUGGUUUCUCGCCAAAUAGAUUCAAGGAUAACUCGAUUUGAUACUAAACUUAGUACGAGAAGGUGCUUAGAACACAUACGGGAUCAGAUAAGGCUAGCAGCUCUAGUAUUGGUAAUAAAUCUUACAAGGGAAUACUAGAUACACCAGUUGUGGUAAGUCAAUUCAUUCAGGAUGCUCGUAAGUCUCGUGAAUCCAAUAAUAAAUAGGGCUUUAGUAGAGGCGCGAAGCGUGGAGAUUGAUAAAUAAAAAGGACACACAGUACCAGACCAAGUAACAAGAUCAGCCUUACCAAAACUGGAUUUUCCAAAGAAAGAGGGUGAUGAGUGGGUGAUUCAAUGUAACCAUUACUUUUCUCUCUGCCCAGUUCCUGAUACAAACAAGACCCAUAUGGUAGUGUUGCACUUUAGUGGGAAAGCCAGUUCAUGGUAUAGAGGCUAGAAUCUGACCCAUGAUCACCCCUGAUCUAAUUGAACUGGUUCAGAGGGUAUUCCCAGAUGCUAGCAGCCUCACCUCACUGCUGCUGAGGAAUGGAAGAGAUUGUACCAAGUCCAUAAUGGUCAAGAUUCCACACAGAAGGGUCAGGUCAAAUCAAGGGCCUUAGCUUGGGAUCUCCUGACUUACCUGAGCACUAUUUUAUCACUGCCUGCUUGAGUUGAGGGAAGACAUCAAAGACCUUGUCAUGGCAAUGAAGGCAGUAAGCUUGAUGCAUUUUAUCCAAAGACAUGGAGGUGGCAAUUUCUUAUCAAAAGAAAAGAAAGAAAAGCAGUUUCAAGCCUAACAACCUUCUUACAUACCCUAGCCAGAAUAAGGGAAUUAUGGUCAAGGGAAAAAUGAAAGAGCAUAAGCCAGAAAAUGGAAACUCUCAGAAUAGGAAUGAAGUAUGGGAAGAAAUAAGAGCCUUAGGCCUGUGCUUGACAUGUGUUGAGCUACCCUGGUCAUCAGUGCAAGGUGAAGAUGAACAUAGUAAUAGGUGACAGUGAAGAGAAGGAAGAUGAGAGAUACGUUCCUUAGAAUUAGAAGUCGUCUUCAACUUUCUUCCAGGAAAGCCUUUCACCGAGCGAGCAGCUAAGCCUAUGCCCUCAGACAUUGAUUGCUAUACAGAAUUUAGCAUAAAGUACUUGAAUAUUGAUUAUUAUUCUGAGGCUGAGAGAGCAAGUAACUUAAUGAAGCAAGACUUCGAAGAAAAGGAGAGAAUAAGUGUUGUGUUUCAAGUAGUAGUUGAUAAAGUAUCAAGUAGAGAAGUUCUUCCUAGCUUCUUUUCCAGCAAGAAAACGUAUUGUUCAUACGAAAAGCAAAGUACUUUCUCCAAUCCAACAGAAGAGGAAUUCAGCAAUCAAGUCUACUAAUACAAGUCUGUAGUUUGAGUAGUUGUUUUUUCAGCCGAUUCUCCGAAAUUGAAGACAAUUAUCCUCACUCAAACUUCAAAAAGUCCUUUUUUCUUUUUCUGAUGUAAAUUCUGUCUGUCUCCUUUGUCCUUCCUAACGCUAGUCUAGUCUCCUUCGUUCCACUCGUCCUUGCUUUUUUUUUUCUUCUUCCUAUCGUCAAAGAAAUAGGUUCAGUGGUUCGACCUCCCAAAGGUUAAAGAAAGACAUCGAUAUUAACCCUCCGGAUGAUGAUAUGCCCCAACCAUCUAUACCCCAUGGUUCGUUACUCGGGAAUUCGGAGAGGUCAGAUGAGAUAGAUGGGUGUGUUCAAAAUGGAAUGAUCCCCUUUCUCAUGUUUUCAUUUAUGUUGUCCACAAACGAAUAAAGAGUCCGAAAAGACGUACGCAUAACAGACUCGGUACCUAGGUCAAUGGGUUCAGUGGAGAAUUGCGUAUAGAAAGGAGCAAGAAAACGUAUGCGCUUUAGCAACAAAGCGCUCAUCCCUUGUUCUUUCGCUUGGAAGCUCAAUCCCCUCGCUUCUUCUUUCGCUUCUACGCUCGUGCUUUCAGCAAGUUCGUACCAGUCGUCAGUCAAGGAGGGAGCUCCAACCUCCGCGCCUAGCCACAACCUAAACGCUGGUUCUAUCCCGGCAAGGGGAACCCGGUGGGAAGAGGGAAAGAAAGAUCAGGGGAAGAAGCGGGGUAGAGGAAUUGGUCGACUCAUCAGGCUCAUGACCUGAAGACUGCAGGUUCGAAUCCUGUCCCCGCCUAAUCACGUCAGAUACUUGUACGAGUCCUGAUCACCUGGGUAAAAGAAUCUAUGUUCAAGUCGCCUGCCUAACAAAUAGACGACUGCGUACUGUAGUUAGUCUGUUCCGUUGGUCCGAUCCGAAAGUGUUGCUGUGUAAAAUAGAGAUUGUGUGGGUGUUCAGUCUCACAAUCUCCUCCUUUUUUGUUCUGGCUGGUUAGAGCAGAGGACUUAAAAUCCUCUUUUGCUUAGGACUCAAAAUCCUAACAGAGUGGUUCGAAUCCACCUCAGAACGAGAGCGAGCCUGAACGAAACCUAACGCUGCGCUUGACUGGGAAGACUGCUGCGCUCCCUGCGGGUAAUAGCAAGAGAGUGAAGAACGAACGAUCCUAAAAAAAGUAAGCAGUGAAUGAGUCCGACUCGAGUUCGUGGGUCAAAGGCGAAAGGCAGAUUCGGAAAGGAUAGGAUCCUCCUAUCAUGAUGAUUAAGGGAAGAGUGAAUUGAAAGAGAUAGAGAUGGUUCUUUUGUUCGGGAGACAACCAUUGUAGAUUCCAGCCGAGAAGACCAGGAAAAGAGAAGGAUAAAGAAUGUCAUAUAUCUCAGGAGCUAGAUCACUUCCCGAUGAACAAGUAAGAAUUGCCUCAACAAAAAUGGAUGGAAUUGGACCGAAAAAAGCCAUUCAGCUUCGUUAUCGAUUAGGUAUCAGUGGGAACAUCAAGAUUCAUGAGUUAACUAAGUAUCAGAUCGACCAAAUUGAACAAAUGAUAGCUCAAGAUCAUGUUGUUCAUUGGGAAUUGAAGAGGGGAGAACGAGCAGACAUCGAACGAUUAAUUUCUAUUUCUCGUUAUCGUGGAAUUCGUCAUCAAGAUGGAUCGCCAUUACGCGGUCAACGAACUCAUACUAAUGCAAGGACUGCUCGCAAGCAAAUUCGGAAAUGAAAGAAGGCUACCGAAAGAACAAGCAACGGAUUGAGCGCUCAUCCCUUGCGCCUGCGCAUACGUUUUCUUGCUCCUUGCAAGUCAAGUAGAGUAGUACUUGUCUGAUCAAUCACACUGUUCAAUUCAAUAGUUCUUUUUUUAUUUUUCGUUCGAUGUCUUGAACCGCUUACUAAUCACGUAUACGUAUAGUAGGCCCCCUUCGCCACUCCACGUCUGGCCCGUCUUGGUCUCGCUCACUUCGCCCGCCUAUCGUAUCGGUUCGGCUUCGUCCGUCAAGCGACAGCUUCACUAUCGCUCAUGACUGGUAGUUGUCUCUAUCUCUAUGUAUAUGUAGUAGUCGUAGUCGGCCUUUGUUAAGCUUCGCCAGAAGCGACUAGUCGCUUCCCGAAUGCCUCUUUCUUGUACUAAUUAAUGUGUAUGGUCUAGUCUUUCCAAUGCCUCUUUCCUUGCCGCCAACGCACGCUAGAUGGAGAGUAAGCAAGCUACCUUGCUUGCAUUCGUUAAACGGUAGCUUCCGCGCCCUUCCUGCCUGCAGAAAUUUAUGUGAAUGAUCGUGUCUUCGACAUCAAUUUCAGUCUGAUUAGAUAUGUCAUUGAAACAAAUCUGUUUUGUCUUUGUUUUAUUUUCGGAUGAUAAGGAUGAGCCAGCCGAUCCUAACAUAAUUUUGGAGGAGCCGGACGACGAAGCCUCCAAAUCUGAUAAGGAUGUCUCCGACGCGACCGGACUGCAACUAUAUAUGGGGUCCGGAGGGAAAAAAAAGAUAUGCUGUUUCCUAUCAGUCCCAAGCGGAUACCCCCCAGCUUCCACGGUCCGCUUACCGAGGAAGAGAUGCGGGAGGACCCAGGGCCAGAGCAAGUUGGGUUGGGGUAUAGAGCCGUAAGCGCGGUGGGGGUGACAGAGGAUGUGCUCGUACGGUUCAUAGUUGGGUAUGAUAUUCUCGUGGAUUGUUGGGAACGUCCUCUAUAUUCGAAAUAUGCCUUUCUAGGAGCAUUACGAUCUGCAGCUCAAAUGGUCUCUUAUGAAGUCUCUAUUGGUCUUAUUCUUAUUGUGCGCCUUGUGAGCACGUUUGGAUCCGCGAAGGCAAUCGCUCGGAUCUUCCCCUAACCCAACCCGGGAACGGACCGGAGGGAACCGCAGCAUGAGGAAUGUCCGCGUCUCGUCGCAAGGCUCGUUUUGAGUUUUGGGUCAUAGGGCGGGCAGUCCGGGGCACAAGGGUCCUGGUACUACCCAGGUGCGAAGAACCCCGGAGGUGACUGCAAUGAGAAAAAAUGUCACUCACCGGCCUAAACGACGAGCAAACACUCGAACGUGAGAGCAAGGGAUCACCCAACGAAUGGACGAGCUCCAAGGAGGGAGGCAAGAACCAUGCUUUCAGAGAAGUGGCGGUCCGAAUCCACUCUGACAAAAGAAAAUAACUGACUAAGCCGUAAGGGGGGCUCCACACGGGACGGGGCCAAGGCCUUCAUGUAUGGGUGACAGAUCGGCCAUAGGAGUACUCCGGGAUAUACACCAGGGCAACUAAUGUCGAGCAUACGAUGAUGCCGCCCGUUUUCAUUUCGUGAAAGUCCCCGGCAGAGGAAAGGGCUGUAGGUGAUGGCGCGUUCUGCUUCUUAGGGCUAGGGCGAUGAAAUCGUUCCUAUGGGAUCGUGCGUGGCAGCUGGUAUAGAUGAUGAUGAAAGGCGGGCCGCUUGAACCGGGACCUAUUCUCAUAAUAGGCAGCAAGCAAAGCUAAAUAGGAAAGGGGGCGACGCUGCCUUUUUCGUCAAAAUAAAAAAGGGUGGAAUGUGGAGCUAAUAUGGCUGGCUACAAGUAUAGCCAAAGAAAGAUGAGACGAGACGGACUGUCAGAGGACGCAGCGGGACUACCAGGGGAAAGCCCGCCCCCGCUAGCUAACAUAGAUAUCUAUUCUCGGUGCGCAUAUUCGAGAUUUAGAAUCUCUUUCCGACCAGGCCAGGCCGAAUCGGGCCACCACUUGGGAUGGGAAUGGCUCAGCCCACAUGCAUCAUUUGAUGAAAGCACUCCAGUCCAGUCGCCUCCGAUCAGUGGCUUGUCAACCACCGGACCGUAGCUCCUCACCGAAUGCCCCUGCGUUGGGGCAACACAGCACAUGACUAGUUCGCUCAAGGACCACACCCUCUCGAGAGCAGGAUGCCGGCCGAGAUGGAGCACCAACCUAGACUUUCCUUGGGCUUGCCCCAAUACAAUAAAGGGCGGGCGCCGAAAAGGAAGCAGUGACGCCUUUUCGACGAAAGCUUCGCUUGCUUGGUAGGCGCUGCUUACUCACCCUACUCCCUUAGACAAUGCAAUGCUCUGAACACGAAAGUUUGCAGUUCAGCCCUCUUCUCCCAUGCAGAGUCGCAGGCAGCGCCUCGGAUAAAAGCACGGACGAGCCACAUGCAGGGAAACUUGCACGUGUGGUUCUGGCCGGGGACCCCGGUAUACUGUACUAAUAUGUGUAGGUCCCUGUAAUUCGAGUGAGAUUGUCAUGGCGCAAAAGCAGAUAUGGUCCGGUAUUCCCUUGUUCCCCGUAUUGGUUAUGUUCCUUAUUCCUCGUCUAGCAGAAACUAAUAGAGCUCCGUCUGAUCUCCCAGAAGCGGAAGCUGAAUCAGUUGCAGGCUAUAAUGUAGAAUAUGCGCGGGAUGCGAUCCUUAAUAGUUCACUGUUGGCGGAAGCCAAUGUCUCGGGACUCAUUCUGACUUAAACAAGGGGUGGGUCUUUACCAAACCAACUUCCAAAUCCAAGAUUUAGGGAAAAAAAGAGGGGCACUCUUCAUUCGAAACUCAUGAAGAGGUUUUUGCCUUUUUAUCAAAAAGGGGAGUUGGGUAAAGCAAACUCCCUCCUUGGACGAGCACGGGGCUUAGUCAAGUAGAACCGGGUUGCGCUGCUUGAUGCUCCGAUCGAAAACAAAUCAGUGGGGCCAUGCCGGUACGACGGAAUAUGCGUUAGAAAGGUCAAUCCCUCCCCCCCUUUCUUUUUUUUUAAUGAAAAACCGGGCCGAACUUAUAUUAUAAAAAGCAGCCCACCCGCUUCCAUAGAACAAUAUCGCGGCAACGUAGACCUAAGUGGAUUUAUUGGAUCCUGGGGAACCAUCACAAGUACGGCCGGCCGGCCUAUAGAACGAGAAUGCCGUGUCGUCCAGCGGAGCUUAGAAGAAGGUGACUCGGAGCCUAAGGAAGGUGACUCGCGCAGACAGCUGACUCCUUUUCAAUAGAAAGGAAUAGCCAAACCUACCCAGCUGGCUGGUCAAUCUCAGUGAUCUUAUCGGCCGGCAAAGCGGAGACGGACGACCACGGUCCCGACCUUACCAGCACCGUAGGUUUACUAAUCAAUGAAGCCCCUCAACCUACUAUCUUUUCUUACAAACUCAACCAAGCCUAACCAAACCCCAUGCUAACGACAUGUUCUUGAUAUUGAUUGAGUUGGAGGGAGUCAGAGACUACCACGGAAUCCUUCCAUAGUCACCCCGGUGACCUUCGUCACCAAAGCGUCACGACAGUUUCAAAGACCCCUCAUCUCCAGUGGGGAUCAGUCGGAGCACGUAGGAAUGCCGACCACUACAUAAGCCACGUCUGGCUGAGGCGAGCAGCAAGCGGGGGGGAGUCUUUUGAAGUACAAGAACGUUGGGGUGGGACGCUAGUACUUAAACUAGGGUUGCUUCUUAGCGCUAAUCUUGCGUUUUCAGCAGUUAGUUGUAGCGCGCCUUCCCUCCUUCUCUCAUUUCGGAAAGAUUUGGCAGUAUUUUCUUAUGAUGACCUGGUCGAGAGAGUACGAAACAUCGGUGUAAAAGAUUGAGUGGGAUGGUUAUGGUUAUAGUAAGGGGCGAACCAAGUGCUUGCGCGAAGAAGCGAAUCAAUCAGAAUGGAGACAAGGAGAGGCGAAACUCAACUAAAAUGGAAAAGGGAACUCGACUAUCAUGAGCGAAGUGAGGGAAUUCCUUCUGAUUGGGUCCCUUAGGGGAGAGACAGAAGGUAUUAUUAAAUAGAAUCAGAUCUUUGACGAUCCAGUAUUAGCUAGUAAGUGUAUGGACUCAGACUUUGAUGACUCCCUAGUGGCCAGGGAAGCGUUAGCUUCACCCUUUGAACGUCUCAUUUACUCUCUCUAGCUCUCGACUUUACGUAUAGGAAUUUAAGGUACAUUGGUCGAUGAAAGUGAACAUCUAUCUUAUCUUACGCCACUUACUCUAGCUUUACUUUGUGGAAGACGUCCGAUUGAAUGAUCUCCAGUGGGUUCUAUUACCAUGUGUACCCAGCCUGCUUCCUUCUUUUUUACCAGCCUCUCUGCUUCUGUCAGUAUAGAGGAAAGUCUUCAAUCCAAAUAAAAAAAGGAAAAAAAAAGAUACCUAGCAUGACACAUCAGCUACGCCAUCAGAGCCUGUCCACUUGCUAGUCAGGAAAAAGAACCGCUCCGUUCCGUGGGCUUCUUUCGCAGCUCUCUUCACGCUCGCUUUACGAGUGCAACCAAGUUCAAUAAACUGUGAAUGCUAAUUUAAUUCAUAGACUAUGCUGGUUUCUAUCUAAGAGUCCUGUGAGACGCUUUCCUUCUCAUACACAUCUGAAGGAACGUUUGAUCAUCAGCAUUAGAGAGUUUUGCAGGUCCUUGAGAGAACGUUAUCCAGCCACCAUACCAUGGUCUGAGGUGAAAGAAAUUGGUCCUGGUCCAUAAAACGAAAGGUGCUGGGCAAGCGCAGAGAAGUCGUCUGAAGGGGAGUUCCAUAGGAAUGUUCAACUUCGAUCAACCUUGGUCCCAUGCCUAAAAAAGAAAGAAGGUAAAAAAUAGGGGUGAUAUAAUCCACUGCUCGCCUAAGAAUGUACUGACGUAAUCCCUACUAUGGCUUCCCGAAGGAUCCAGCAGCUAAGAGGGUCCGAGCCAUAACGGA
rnacentral:lncRNA from 1 species